rnacentral:lncRNA from 1 species
ACACUACGGAACAAUCUGGCAGCAAUGGACGUUUUUGGCUGAAGGAAUGAAAAUGUACGGAUCGGCCUCACUUUGUUCCUUAUUUCCAAAGGCCAAAAAGGCUUCUUUAUUCCUUAAAAGUAAUAUAUUACUUAAAAAAAACACUGCAUGGAGCCCGCGCUGCUUUGAGGCAGCCGCGGGAGCUGACCAAACCCACGUGCUCGACUGGCUGCUACUUCACGGUUGCCAAGUUGGGACGCCGUCCGAAUGCCAGGCUGUUGCCCGUGCAGCAGCAAGCUGGGGCUCCCUAACCUCUCUCCGCUGGGCCUUGCGCGUACUACGGAUCCAGCCGUCCCCCUCUGUAAUGGAGGCAGCUGCCGCAUCAAAGCACCCUCAGUGGCGCGAGAAGAUUGAGUGGCUGCUGGAAAUCGGCGCUCCUUGGUGUUCGGUAAGUUUCGAUUGACAGCCAGACUCCUAAAACCCCAAAGACUACUUUGUCCAGGAAGCUUCGUCGCAUGCCCGCAAACAAAAGCCUUGCCGGUCGACCUUGCCAACUAGACCUGUAGCUACUUUUAUAUAUCAUAUAACGAGGUGUUUGCAAGUAACUGGUGCUAUUUACAAGAUGCGCACCCCAAAAAAUGCGUGUAUGAUGUACACAGGCAGCGCUUCCCCUGCUCUCUCACCCUCUUCGGUACGUUACACUGCUCUUUUUCCCUCUCCCCACCGCCGCCUCCCGCCCUAACCACAACGUAGCUCACCCUUCUGGAAGCAGCCCGGGAAGGCCAUCUGGAAGUUCUUAAACUGCUGAUGCACUAUGGUAUCGCACCCAUUCCGUUAUGCUACUUCGCCGCUGUCACCGCUGGGGGAGACCGUAUGGCGGCAAUUUCUGAAUGGCUAGAAGCGCAGGGUGUACCGGUACCCGGCAGCAGCGGUGGUGAACCCGCCGACACCGGGGUCCUCCUCCGCGCUCUCGGGGACCCCGCAGCCUUGCCGGGCCGCUUGUCGGCCCUCAGAUGGCUCGUGGAUUACCGCCGCUGCCGCCUCGUCCUAAGUGAACAGCUCGCGUGCGCCGCGGCGGAGGGUGGCGACGUUGCCGUUCUGUCGUACAUCCUGGAGCCGCGCGUCGGCCGUGAACAUCCAGCGGCCGCAGACUGGCCGACCCCUGCGGUAUUGGCGGCAGCGCUGCUGGCGGCAGCAAACGCCGGGCAGUACGACAUGGUACGGCACCUGGUGGAAGUACACAACGCACCGCUGAGUGCAAACGUAGCGGCGGCGGUGGCGCAAGCGGCGACGACAUGUAAGCAACAUAACGGCGCGGCGGCGAGGCAACACGGCGACAGCGCAGCGGCGGCGGCGGCCGGGUCUUGUGCUGCUGCGUUGCUGCGCUGGCUCCACUGCAAGGGGUGUCCGGCAGAUGGCUCGUGAGUUCCCGAAUGUGAUGUGGUUUCGGAGACGGGCCUUAUCUUGAGGGGGGCCCAUCUCUUGGGGCCGUCCAAUCCAUGGCAUCACAGGGGGUUAGUAGGGACCGCGUGGGGGGGGUGUCGACGGUCACGACGACUUCGGUUGCGUCGCCCGUAUUGGAAAACAUUGGGAAUCAACGUCACUGGCAACGCGAAAGGGUCAUCGAUGUGCUUGUGCUUCCUGCGCAUGUGCGCGCAAGCAACCUGGCGUUUGGGGAGGGUGUUUCACGACAAGGUCCUCUGCGGCAGAGCGCCUCGUACGCAUAAGCCCCAAUGACGGUGACGAUACGACUGUACGAUAAGAAUGAUGUCGUACACUUUCCUCGUUUCUGCGGCGCAGAGCAAUCUGGAAUGCGCUGCGCCAGGACGACUUGGCGGCCGCUGACGUGGCGUACGACAUGGCCCUCGCAGGGCCCUUUCGGGCCGAGGGGCUGGUGGCGACGGCGCGCUGGUGCAGCCUAGCCGCCAUGCAGUGGAUGGUGGCCCACGGGUCGCCAUUGGGGGGAAUGGGCAUUAUGGCCGAAGCGGCAGAGACCGGAGACUUGGAGAAGGUCAAGUGGCUGCACGCACAGGUACGUCGAAAGGUGUACGGCAGAGUGUACACAUGCAUGGCAAGCAUCACGGUAGCAUGUUGAGGACAACUGGUAGCUUAUUGAUCUAGUUGCCUGAUUUGGCCACACAGCUUCCAUUGGGUACUGCAAUGUACCGGUCAAUAUGCACACUGUGACGAGCUCCAAGCCGUGAAAAAAAGGUAGUUGAAAUUUCGUAUUGUAGUAUACUGCUAGUAUAAGGAUAUAGGAAAGACCCUUCAUUAUAAUUUUCACGAAUUUUGGUAAGCUGGCGCGGGAUACGUUGCAUGCGGGAACUUCCCAGACCGGCUACCACACGAGAACCCGUUGGAUCACAUCGGUGUGUGUUGUUGAUCCAUUCAAAUGCACCAUGUAAACUAGCACCAUAGCCAGCUGGCACCACCCGACGCUGUCUCUGUGCUCCUGCUGCUCCUGCUGCCAACUCCGAUGUUUCCGAUGUUUCCGACACAGCGCUGCGACUGGGAUUCCAGGGUUUUCACGGCAGCCGCAGCCAACGGCCACGGCGCCCUGCUGACGUGGCUGGCGGAGAAUCACUGUCCCAUGGGUCACGACGGCGACGCGUACGUGGCGGCGGUGUCGCACUUUGAAGGUCCAGACUGGUCCACACUGGGGCUCCUGAAGGAGCUCGGUUGCCCCUGGGGCGAAGGUGGGGCUUUUGCGUGUAGAUCGUACAAACCACCAACGGAACCAUCAACAGCCGGGUGACUGGUAGUGUGUAGUAGCUGCUGGCCCCUGGCCUCUGAAAAGGCCUCUCGAGAUGCAGGUGGUGGAGCGCUUAGCGCAUAGUUGCGGUUGUUAUGUGAGCCGUACAGUGUACCAGCUACUACAUAGAGGGUGUCUAGGUUGUGGCUGGGGGUUGAGAAGAGAACUUGCAGUUGGGUGUUGGUGACGGAAGGAUGGGGUGCAGAUUGCGUAGGUUCGCCCAGCUGAAUUGAGCUGGGCAUUAAAGGACGCCGCUGAAUUGUGUUGGGAAUCAGAAUAUAUCGCUCCUGUUCUUCUGCUCCGGUGCGGGCGCUUCCAGGCUUCCGUGUUGGGUGGCUGCGGCGCUUGUAGACACGGCCCCUUGGUUAAAGUAGUCAUAGUAGGUAUAUUACAACGAGCCCCAGACCCCAAGGGAAUGUAACCCAGGGCAAGGCUGUGGGGUUGCGCCACCAUCUGCAGGUACAUUAGCGCGGGCUGCGGAAGAGUGCAUGUCCAGGCCUGUCAUGGUCGAGCUGAUGAAAUGGAUGAUGGCCGCAGGCUGUCCGUACGACCAUGAGGUGGGCGACGGCGUGCGGCGUGGGGGGUUUUGUGGGCGUGUGGGGUUUCCGGGGGGGGGGGAGGUUUUGGCGUGCGGGCGUGCGGGGUUUCUGGGCGUGCGGUUUAGGCAUAUGGGGUCUCGGAGGUGGGAGCCGGGGGCCGAAGGUGCACAUUUUGGGGUUGAACAUCGUGACCCUGCUCUCGGGGCACUCUCGCUAUCUCCGGCAUGGCUGCCGUCGACAUGGCUCGGACAGAACGGCAUUCCUCGCUACCAGUUAGAACUCAACGGCAUCGUCUUCAUUCGUGUUUUCCCCCACACCCCCGCGGUGGUACCACCACGUGCAGAUCGUACCGCAUCUUGCCGCAAUUUACGGCCGCCCGGACCUGGUACGAGGCGUCCCGGGGGCUGCAGCGAUGGCACCUGCAGCGGUGGCGGAAGUCGUGGUUGCAGUGCUACCUUAAAUGGCCAUCCAAGUAUAUAAUUUAUAAAAAUAUAAUAAUGAUAAUUAUCACACAACAAAGCGCCUUAUACAUAUAAUACAUAUGGGAUUUGUUGUUGUGCAAUACCUAUCACCUGGUUCGCAUCGUAUCGUGUGGUGCUGAGCUCACUUCCGUGAACAUUCACAUGUGCGCGCAUCAAUUUGCACAGCCGGUUGCCCGACAGGGGCUUUUCCGCGACGUAGGGUGGGUUGGGUUGGCUGGGAAGCGCCGCUGGUGCUGGGCGGCUCAGGGGGGACUCGUACGGGACUCAUGGCUAGAGAGGGAUAUGGUAAGGUGUCAAGGUCAGUCGCCAUAGAUUGCAGUGGUGCGGCGGGCUCGCGAUCUGGAGCAGACUGGAGUGGGGGCUUAAGGACAGCGGUAGAAAGGCAGCAGCGGUGCACUGUGAUUAGUGAAGUGGGUGGACCGUAAGCUGCAGUCGUCGGCGUGAUUUGGGGUAUGUAUAAUUUGAUGUACAAAGUGCGCCCUAUGGCAUUAAAACGUCGGAAAACCCCCGGGUCGGCAAUAUCCACCCACUACCUACCCGAUAGGACCCCCAUACUCUCCACCACAGCCUAACCCCUCUUGGUAGUGGUGCCCUUACCCUACCCAGACUAUCCACCCCUAAAUGACCCGUGGACGAGCCAACCCGACCUCUUUCGGUGAUUACCCCAUCAGCUUUAUCCAACCCCACCUUUACAUAACCCGCCCCAUUAUUAUUAUUAUUAUUAUUAUUAUUAUUAUUAUUAUUAUUAUUAUUAUUAUUAUUAUUAUUAUUAUCUUUCCCAGCUCGGAUUCCAAUGUGAUGAUAAGCUCUUUGUUAUAUGUUGCAUUUGCACCAGCUUAACUGGGUAGGGCGUGUUAUCGGGGGUUCUGUUGCGCAACCCUUCCCUUAACCCCAGAGAAGGGGGGGUAGGUGGGGGCCGUAGGGGUGAUAGCAGGAGAACAGUAUCCUGGGUGGUGGAACGAACACAGCGAUUGGGAACCAAGCGUGAUGAAUCCUAAUGUGGCCAUGUCUUCUUUUCCCUUUUCUUCUUUUUCCUUUUUUCUUUUAUCUGCUGUGAUGCGGUGUUAAAUUUCUCUAGACUGAAAUGUCUAUAGAUUAAGUGUGUGUUUUGGCAAUGCCCUCAGGGCUUGUAUUGGGAGGAGAGUUUUUGCAUGUAGGGGGGUUUUCGUCCCGCUCUGGCCAUCACUUGUACAACACAUACUCAUACACAUGUAAACGCACAAGAGAGGCUUGAGGGACAAGUCGGUUUUAAGUCGUGUAAGCUGCAUUCGAUGAGGGAGAUUGCCGUCACAAUGGAGAGUGAGGCCCGCUGACCAAGCCACCACCGAUGGUUCCCGCAGGACCGAUUACAUUCCACGACAGCAGCGGUCAGGACCUCACACAGCCCACUAGCCCAGCAGCUCACCAGCUUUUGGAAGAUCUUUUGAAUAAACAAAGCAGCCAGUUGUCUAUUUCUCCCCCCAUUCCAAGCAAGGGGUACUACGAUCCCGUUUGCAACCAUGACGAGCCCUUGAGGACGUGUCUGCCAGGAAUUGUAUAUAUAACUGCGUGGCAGCUUUCCGUGACUUCUACAAAGCAUACGACACGCUAGAUAAGAGAUUUCCUCUACGCGUGCCUGAACGAAUUGGAGGUGGGCGCAGGAUUCAUGUGGGUACGCGUGGUACGACGUCUGCAUACCAGUACGCGAUCUGCGGCGAUUGUCAAUGGGUACCUUCUUUCCUACUGGGUUCUGAAUGCAGCUGGCGUCAGGCAGGGUUGUCCUCUCGUCCCCAUACCCUAUCUGGCGCCUGCACAAGCAUUACUAGCUUGGCUAUAGUAUCAACAGAUCGGCAUAAGUUUAGCUGACAUCCACCUCGCAGCGUCACAGUAUGCGGAUGAUUGUGGGGCUAUGUCGCGUCGCCUCGCGGACAUUUCCCGCUUCAAAGCGGUCAUGGACGUAUUUCACGCUGCCUCGGGGCAACGGCUUAAUAAUUGCAAGGUUGAGCUUUCGCCGUUUGGCAUUUUCACCCGCAAUACAAGACCAGCGGCCAUACCACCAGCGACUGCGGGCUGGUGAUGCCCGAUGCCAUGGCAUGGCAGCUUUUGCGGGAGACAUAGAAGUAGCAAGCGCCGACGAAUCGCUGCCAGUUAUAGGUACGGAUAAGCUGGCGGCUUCAGAGUGCUUUUAGUAGCUACCACCUCAGGGGUCCGCUUCGCAGAUUGGCCCACGCAGGAACCACGAAAUGGUGAUUCGCACGUAGCCUGCGCCAUCAUAUGCAUGUGUACGCAAGCAUGUUUACAAUUGACCUGUCCCACCAACAUGAAAGACCUGGAGCACCGCCGACACAAAACGCUCAUGGCCCAUUUGGAGAAGCAUGCUCCGAAUCCGAAGUUGAAGUACGAGGGGUUUAUGACUGCUUUUAUAUAGUUUCCGGAAGACGGUGGCUGUGAUGUCACCUACUUUUUCCAAUACAUUUAUAUUUAUGCCGAAAUACCAGCCUCAGUCGUUGCACAUGAGCAACCUUUUUACAAUUCCCGAGCUGCACCCCAUAUGUGUAGCAGAUAUAGAAUUGACAACUUUUUAUAACUCAGCAUUUAACAGGAGGAUAAAGUGCGCCCAUAGUCGGUUGAGGCGUAGAAUGUCUUGUCCUAAUAUGCCUUCAGAGCCUUCACUGGCUGCUUCGGCCAUUUCGUCAUUGCAUCAUCCGAGAUUCCGUCUACACCAGGAGCUUGGUAAGUAGCUUUCGAAAUGCUUUCCUUCAUUCCGCACACGCAUAUUCAAAACUCAAGCAUAUGAUGCUUUCUCGUCAAAAAAAAACAUGUUUUCUACGUGUCUUUUGUACGUCUUUCAGUGAUGCGGCAGCUAGGAUUUCUGAAGGUGGUGGUCCCAGGGGACCAUCGAGUAGCACCGCCGCCAUCGCCGACCCGAGCUGCAGCAGUAACCAGCGGUAGUUUUUAAUUCUGAACCAAUGAAUAAUCUUACAACAAUUUUUUUUAUGAUACUUGUCUUCCAUUUGUGUUGUGGAUUGAUGCUGGAGGGAUCAUGAAGGCUUUGCAACAGGCCUUGGAGGAGGUGCAAAAGGUGUCGCCACCGCCGCCGCACCGCCGCCGGUGCCAUGGCGGUGCCGCCGCCACCCUUUGCACAGCAGCCUUCUCCAAGGCCUGUUCCAAAGCCUUGAUGACCGCUCCAGCAUCAACUUACUACCAAAAAUGGAAAAUAAGUAUCAUAAAAGUUUUGUUGUAAGAAUAUUCAUUGCUUCAGAAUUGAAAACUACCGCUGGUUGCUGUUGCAGCUCGGGCCAGCGAUGGUCCGUUGGGACCCCACCUUCAGAAAAUUUUAGGUGCCGCAUCAUUGAAAGACGUACACACGACAUUUUUAUGACGAGAAAGCAUGAUAUGCUUGAGCUUUGGAUAUGCAUGUGCGGGAAGUAAUGAAGGGAAGUAUAUCGAAAGCUGAAAGCUGCUUACCAAGCUCCUGGCGUUGAUGGCAUUUCCGAUGAUGAAAUGGAUGAAGGGCGUCUUAAGGGUUGCCAGGGUUGCGGAUCUGUCCUGUGUGGGUGCUGAGGUUGAUGGGUCGAGGUGUGUCCUGACCCACUCUGGGCCAGGUUGACCUGGGGAGGAAGGCCACGCCACUAAGGUACCAAACCCGUAGUAGGUCACCCACCGUUUGCAAUUUCCUGCACGUAGCGAUCCCCUCAAAAGUGUGUAUGUAUGUAUGCAUGAAGUUUACACUGUGGGCUGAGAAGCUGGGGACCCAGGGCCAAAACACAGUGUGGGGGUGGAUGCAUAUUUUGUUGUUGUUGUUGUUGUUGUUGUUAGUUGUAGUUGCUGGUUAGUCUCAUGCACUCUGCCCCCAGGUCUUUUUAAUACUAGGUUCUUCAGGAUACGAGGCCAGGUUUCGUGUGUUGUGAAGUCUAGGUGAGUUAGAGUUUUGGGAGCCAGCCAUCUUGGUAAAGGGCGGGUGCUGAGCUUGGCUACCCUCCUCCCCCUGCAAUUUUUGGAGGCCUGGUGGCUGUGUUUUCCCAUUAAGUGUGUUUGGUCUUCCCAUUCGAGUACAUUUCGAGUUGGACCCAGUGCCAUGGAAGGGUCUGGGCUUGUGUGGUGUUCUCCCCCUGAUGGGUGCUAUCUCCCCUGGACUAGCCCAGGGAGGGAGGGGCGGGUGGGUAGUAGACUCAGGAGGCUGUUUGGUGUCUUGUGGUGUGAGCUCUUUGCACUCUUUUUAUUUGAGGAUUUUGGAGCUUGGUGACCUCCCCAGCCCGGGAUGACUCGUCGGGCUCCUGGUUGCCUGGGUCCUGGAUGCAAGCUCACUGAGGUGUUUGGUACUUUCUGUCCAUAGGAAGAACCCCUCUGGGUGUAACUUUGUUUCUGUUAGGUGACCAGCGGACAUAGUACCUGCUUAGCUGGAGCGCUAUCUCCAAGAGGGGAGUGCUGAUAUGUGCCGGCCGUAGUUCCCUGUGUGGCACAUGUGCACACCUCCAGGUACGGCCCCUCCUGGGUGCCCACCUCCCCGUCAUCUGCACACCUGCUAUGUCCACCUGCUGCCUCUUACCACUCCUCAACCCUACAUCCUCUUGGUGCUCUCUCUGCCUCUCCCCCUCCCCUCCUGGCCUCUCCCUAACCUUUCCCCGGUCCUCUUGCCCCCUUGGCCUCUGCCUCCCUGAUCUGCCGGCACAGCUCCCCCAGACACAUAAACUCUCCCUCCCCAAUCCCCCCCUUGCAUGACACCCCUCCAUUCCCCAUCCCUGCUCCCUCAACCCCCGUCACCUUUCCCCUCAGCCUCCCCCCUCACCCUUCCCCCACCAUACCCGCACCUCAGCCCCCCUCCUCAUCUCUACACCCUAUCCCCUUAUCUCUGUGACCCCACCUCCCAUCUCCUUUGCUUGACCCUUAGGUCAUGAUGUCCAAUGCUUCCGUGCAGCGCAUUGCUCUCCCCACGACAUUGACAGGAUUGGGUGGUUGGGUCCCACUGGUGAAUGAAUGCAAGUGCAACCAGAAGUCUACUACUGCCUGAGCACGAGCAUAUUCCAGGGGGGUUUGCUGCUGCGGCUUUUGCUGUUGCCAUCCCCGGUCCAGUGUUGGGACCCUGCGAUUGAUCCUUGAGUACUGGCACAUUCAGCAAUGGCCCCUCAUGCGGCCUCACUCUGUUGGCCAGGUGGAAGAAGUUAGUCCAUGGGCAGUCGGUUCCGCUCACACCAGUUUGGAUUAGCUUGGAGCUAGUUGCUGGGUUGGAUUUACCAGCUUUUGGUCAGGCUUUUGCAGCAUCAGGUUCUAGCAUCAGCACAGUCCUGUACAACUUCGAGUUUAUGGGGGGACCUAGCAUCACAGCCAUGAAUAGCUUGUUGGGGGAAUGUGCGGCCAUUAUUGACAGGCAGCAGCCGCCUUCUGCUCGGGACAUCAAUGAGUGGAGGCGUGCUCUGGGUGUGGGAGUCGCAUACAUGCCGUUUCCUCCUGCCAUUGGGGGGUUCGGUCUCAUUCCACUGCAGGGACAUUUGUGUGCUCGUUUUGCUUGCCUGUUUAUCAGUGCAAUUCCAUGAUGCGUCUGGCAUGCUGGAAACUAACCCCACUUGGAUUCGUGUGUUUCUACUGGCAGUAUUGUGACAUAUUCACCCGGCAGCCCACCUGGUAUGUCUGCUUGCCGGUAGGGGAGAUGUGCGAGAUGAUGGUGCCAUCACUAUCCUUGUAGGCCAGUGCCGAAGGGUUGCCCGGCAUUAACACGAAUCCUAACGGUGUUGAUUUGCUUACCACAACCUGUCCUGUUGGAUUCGCAACAUUUAGCCCCGGGUCCUUGGUGUUUCCACAUCCCAUUCAUAGGUGUGUGUGGGAGGUUGUGUGUUUCACGGCCAUUAGCUCGCUCAAUCUCGGUUGGUUGUAUAGGGAGGGUCGUCAGGGCAAUACGCCCCUGCCUACAUCCGCUCUCAACCGCAAUGGUUACGGUGUCAUCUUCGACUUUUGGGCCCGUUUCACUGCUUUUGCGACCUCGGGGACAACCCACCAAAGCUUUAGGAACACGUGCCUGUCAACCAAUCUUUCUCGUCAGUCAACGAUGCAAACAAGGUUGUUUGCCGUUUACCUGUAAUAGAACGAGGAGGUCUUAGGGCUCAGUCUGAGCCUGAUCUUUUGUGUCUGAGUGGAAUAGCUGAGAUUUUAUGUCCAGUGAAGUUAGUACGCCCUGGCCGAGUCCACUUUUUGAAUAGGGCCCACAGUGUUGUGCGGGAGGCGUUGCUAGGAGCAUUCCACUCGACCCGUUCGGAUCCACUGUAGUGUUUGCAUUCUGACUGGACUUAACUGGAUUAAGUCCUGUCAGAAUGCGAUGGACUUAACUGGAACUGACACUACUCCACAACGAUCUGCAUCUUCGCUUAUGUCGAGGGAAGUGGAUAUGGAUAGGUAAAUGAGAGUGCAACACAACUGCCUUGCACUAAGGUGGUCUUAACGAUGCACUAUGACAAUACCGUAGUGCUACUUAUAGUUCGUGAUCGCUUUGUUCGGGGAGGGGUCAAAAAACUUUCUGAAAUUUGUACGUGCUCUUUGAAUUUCGGGGAAGGCCGGACCAGAUUUUGCGGGCAUGAUACAAAUUUCGGGGCCCCUUCCAAAGUUUCGGGGCUUUUCAAACUGCAGCUUCCAGUCAGUCUCCCUCCACCGGGAACCCUUAGGCUCGUGGUCUCUCACCAUUUUCACACUUUGGAAACGCCCUAGCAAAUUCUGGACCGAUCGUACAGUUCAGUACCAGUGGCAACGACCUAAUAACCAACCGGCCGAGCCAAUACAGUGUUUGGGUGGUUGCUACUGAAACGUGUCUUCAUACAGUAGACUUGGGCGUGGCGGUGGCCACCCGAGCGGGCGUCACAAUGACUUGCCUGGUGAAGCCAGGGGCCAGUGCGAACUGCAGCCGAGUCAUGGUUGACCCGCGGAUUUGUUGAAGAGGACGUCCAACAGGUCGAAUGCCGGCUUCGGAGGGUACGAUAUUUCGGGGCUGCGGUCCCUUGGGAUACCUUAGAAUUUGUACGUGCUACAUAUUCGUGGUGCCUCCCGAAUUAUUGUAGCACGAACUAUAAGUAGCACUACGGUAGGUACUAUGGAUGUAUCUAUGCAAAUGCUUGCAAAUGCACCUUAAUGACGCGUGCCCAGGCCCCGAACUCCUUUUCGCUGUUAGCACAGCCGAACCGCUUCGUAACGCCCCCAGGAAAGCCGAUCAUGGUCAUAAAUAUUUCGCAGCGCCCUCGAGCGCUUGCCAAAGAACCAUUUCCACCUUCGCAUGAUUGGAGGGCCUCCUUUAUCAAUAAACGCCUUUGCGCAGACCUCCGAAAAGCCGUCGUCUCAGCCGGUUUGCGCGUUCCAGUUAUUUCUAUAUGUAUAAGAAGAAGAGGAUUUUCCAUUACGUUUGACUGUCUCGCUUUCUUGCUCUGAAGAUGCAAUCACACGCACUGCAUAAUGAACAAGGGCUUUUUAAGGUUCCACAUGUCCAUUGCGCGAAACCAUGACGCAUUAUCAAAAGACGUCAGCAAGAUCAGAAACCGAUUUUCGUGCCGAGUCAGCACGUCAUCGUUGGGGAUUUGUGAUGCUACCUUUAUGCAAGGCGGUUAAUGCGGCGUCGGAAAUUGAUGCUGGCCAUCGAAAGUCCUGAAGAAUGGCAUACGUGCAUAAAAGUUAUAUCCGGGUUUCUGCUUGUCCCCAAAUUCCGCACCUCAUUUAGCUCAUUCGCUGCGCUCUUGAGGCGGUUGGUCAACAUGCAUAGUAAUCGUCGUACAGUUGACAUACGCAGUAAAUCCAAAUCACUUAGCAGGUUUUAAAGUAAGUAUUGUCCCUGUCCUCUCCUAUCAGACGUCAUAGGAUCCUUUUUGAGCCUAAUUGCAAACUCAUUGUUUAUCGAGCCUGCUGCACGUUCGGCGUCUACUGUGGAGUCGAUUUCCGGAAGCUAUCCCACCUUUUGGGGGUUAAUUGUUCUUUGCAAUAAUGCAGCGUCUGGAAAUCCUUGCUCGCCAACUGACGGCAGGUAACGAGGAUCCCGGAAGUGUUCCCUUCCAACUAUGCAGAAUUGGCUUUUGUUGCGAUUGAACGAGAGGACGACUGCCAGAGCCGCAAAAAAACAUGCACGGGGAAGGGCUGCCUUCGUUAGCGGACAUUGGAAGCGUGCGUAUGUAUUUCAACUAGCAUGGCGUCUUAAGCUGAUCACCGAUGGACCAAUUGUUCAACUUCAGGGGCGGCGACGAAUGAUCGCACGCCACUUCUUGCAAGUCCCGAAAUUUACGAGACUAUGUACCGGAAGUCGGUGGAGGACCCCGAGGGCUUUUGGGGCGAACUGGCGCUUGGUUACCAUUGGCAGACAAAGGUAAUCUGUAAACUUGUCAGGCACUGCAAUCUACGCCCAGCAAAUUAUGCGGAAGGUGUUCCCAACUUUCAGCCUGACAAUUCAUCCUCGUUGUGCUCUUGAAGGUUGGGUUUAUAUGCUGGAGGGCACGGAGCACAGUAAUCAUGCAUAUUAUUAUGUCCGUUUAUUCCCUACUGCUCGCUUUUCUUUUUACACUUUUUUGUGCACGUCCUCAAGCACAUCGGGCCUUUUCAGCGCCCUGCCUUCCGCAUACGGCCCGACGAUGUCCUGCCGCUCUCCCGUCCCGUCUCGCAGUUCCCAGCCCGCGGCCACAUGCUCUACAACACCGACGUCCGUCGGGGCCCCAUCAACAUCCAAUUCUUCCGUGGCGGCACCACCAACAUGUCGUACAACUGCCUCGACCGUUGGGUGGCCGCGGGCCGCGGCGACGAGCCGUGCAUCCUUUGGGAGGGCAACGACGAGAAUGAGCGCCGCGCAGUGACGUACCGCCAGAUGCUCGACGAGGUUUGCCGACUGGUAAGUACACUUGGGGAUGAGAAUGACUCAGAGCGGCUCCCCCCUCCCCCUCACACCCAGGACUCCACUACCCUCCAUAACGCCCUCACCGACGUGCAGACACAACACUAGACAGUGACGGGUGCAGCUAGGGGCACAGGCCAGACAGCACCCUGUCAGACUGCGUCACCCACAGUCGCGCUCUCCCUCUCUCCCUCUCUCCCUCUCAUGCACACGCCGCAGUCGAACUGGCUGAUCUCGGCCGGCGUCAAGAAGGGAGACUGUGAGUUUUCGGGGUUUUUUCGGCUUUUUGGCGGUGUAAGGCUGUGAGGGGGGCUGUGUCACACCCCACCCACCCACCCACCCACCCACUAAACACCCGCGGCAGUCCCUAUCGUUGCAGCUAUGGCCGCACACUUUUACGAGGCGAUGGCGGUUAACCUGUUUGGCGCAGUUUACCUGCGUGGCUCUCGAAAGCCCAGUAGCACAUCACUGAACAGUAAAAAUGCCAUGUGCCAUUGCGCUGCGGUGCGCGAUUGACUCCACAACACAGGCUAUGCUCGUGCUUUCGGUCCCCCCCUCCGUCUUGCAUGUCCCCUUCAUUCUCAUGGCCACCGCAAGAUGCAUAAAGCACGACGUUUUGGAUGGUUGUGAGAAAAUAUAUACCAGCAAGAUGCGUUCCAUUACCCAUCCGCGACUGAUCACUUUUUGCCUUAUACUGACCGAAAUUGUCUGCACCUUUCCAAAUCCCCGUCAUACGUCGUACGCCAGCCGUAACCAUCUAUAUGCCUAUGGUCCCGGAGCUCCCCGCUGCCAUGUUGGCCUGUGCGCGUGUCGGUGCCGUACACAGUGUCGUAUUCGCGGGCUUCAGUGCUGAGUCACUGGCGCAGCGCAUCGUUGAUUGCCGGUAAGGAACAUGGCCGCGGGGUUAGGCUGUGUGUUUUUGGAAAAGAGUGGGCGGGCCCAGCCCAAGUCUUAGCGCUCUAGAGGCAGCUGUGGCAACAACGAACUACUGCUGCGACUGCUGCUGCUGCCGCGUUCAAAUAAAGAGUAGAGCAAGAGAUAAUUUGCAGUGGAGCCAAUUAAAUAAGAGGGUCUUAGUACGCAAGGUUUUAAAGGGCGGCGCCUUAGCAGCUGCAGCGGUGGUGGUGUGGCGAGUUUGGGUGUCCUGGGGGCUCGUACGCCUGAGGCCACAUUUACGCUGCUCGGCCACAUCACCCACCCACAUGCUAGGUUGGUUGGAUUCGGACUACCGUCGCGCCUCUUUGCAGGCGCACAUACAAACAUAUAAACACCAUUAGCACACACAUACACUUGUACGUGAGUUUGAACACACACACACACACACACACACACACCCCAAAACCCACGAGGACCUUUCUGUCUUCCCGUCCCCAAACCGGGGGAGAUCUUACUGAGCCCUAAGGCUUGUAACCCCGACCGAUCUUCUUAUCCGUGGCACACGUGGCACAGGGGCAAGGUGAUUUUGACAGCCUCCGGCGUGAUGCGCGGCACCAAGCCCGUGUUGCUCAAGGCCAUCGUGGACGACGCGGUCAAGCUGGCGGCCAAGUCGGGCCAGCCGGUGACCAAGGUGCUCUGUCUGGAGGUGCCCUCGGCGGUGACCGCGAGUGCCACGUCCUGGGACCCUAGCCGCGAUGUCUGGUGGGGCGAUGUGGUCCCUCUGCAGGUGGGAGGGGUGGAGCGGGGCGCUGCGUGUGUGUGUGUGUGUAGUGUGUCAGACAUACACACAGACAGACAGACACACAGACAGACACACAGACAGACACACAGACAGACACACAGACAGACACACAGACAGACACACAGACAGACACACAGACAGACACACAGACAGACACACAGACAGACACACAGACAGACAGUGUGUAUGUCUGUGUGUGUGUGUGACGUUACAAGUAUCUGACCGGGCCUUCGCUUCCUCCCCUCCCCCCAUACCAAAAACCCCCCAACCCUNNNNNNNNNNNNNNNNNNNNNNNNNNNNNNNNNNNNNNNNNNNNNNNNNNACACCCUUGGGCUUGCCCGUCGACCCCGAUGUGUACAACAGGAAGGAUCUGUCCUCCCCCUCCCCCCCCCUUGGAUCCUGUAGUCGCCCCACCGCCCGCCCACGUGGCUGGAGGCGGAGGACAGAUCCUUCCUGUUGUACACAUCGGGGUCGACGGGCAAGCCCAAGGGUGUCGUACACAGCGUCGGGGGCUACAUGGUGGGCGUGGGUGAGAGCUGCCGCUACAUGUACGACAUGCGCCCUGGCGACGUCGUUUUCACGACGGCCGACUGGUACGAGACCCUAAGAAGCUAAAAAUACAUACACACACGCGCGCGCGCGCGUGCAGUCUGCGGUGUUGCUGUUACUGUUGGUUGAGGGAGACUUUCUUCUUCUGCAGAAUUUUCCCUGCGUGCUUCGCUGCUGUGUUUGUGCCACGUGUUGUGCUGUGCUCUCCUUCUUCCUCGUCUAAGCAAUGUAUUAUAACAGUAUUAUAUUCCUGUCUCAACCCAAGUGAAAUGCCUUCCCGGAAGGGUCUUUACGAGACACAUAUCCGUCUGGUAAGGAACGGUUUCCGUAGGUGUUGAAGGUAUUGAAGUGUCUCUUACUGCAUGUCCGUACAUGGCAGUACAGUCAUGACGACAUGCUCUUCCCUGCCGCUCGCCUCUCUCCCCUCUUUGCUGGCAGCGGCUGGAUUACGGGCCAUUCGUACCUGGCGUACGGCCCGCUGCUGUGCGGCUGUACGGCAGUAAUCAUGGGUGGUAUCCCCACCCACCCUGAUGGCGGCCGCUGCUGGCGUAUGGUGGAGCGUUACAAGGUGCGUGUGUUGGUGUGCGGUUGACUGUGUGUAUGUAUGUAUGUAUGUAUGUAUGUAUGUAUGUAUGUAUGUAUGUAUGUAUGUAUGUAUGUGUGUUUCUUCUCUCCCGUUCCCCCUCCAAUCCACGCUGUGCUGCUGCUGCGUGUAUUUCCACCUGCUGCUGCUGUUCCUUUCCUCCGAGUACAGGUUCGCCAGUUCUACACGGCCCCAACGCUGCUCAGGUCGCUGCUGCAGCUGGGGGACGCCUGGCCGCGACAGAGCGACCUGAGCAGCCUCCGCAUCCUGGCCUCUGCGGGGGAGCCUAUGAAUGAGCACGCCUGGCACUGGUUCCAUGAGGUACGUAUCUGUCUGUCUGUCUGUCCGUCUGUCUGUGUCCUAGAUGUAUGUAGCUACGUAUGUGAGGUGAUAGCGGUGGCGAGGUGUGGCAGGGGGAACAUGAAAAGGCGAGGGGUGAUGGUGUUCGGGCUGCAGAAGAUUUUGGGGUUUCGGCAAUAUUUCAACGCCCUCCCCCUCGCCCUCACCCUCCCACGGUUCUCCUGCUAGCAUUGCAAUUUCACUGAAUUUAAUUCCUUUUGAAAUUUGAAUUCCCCCAAUCUACUGUCUAAGAGUCUUUUAUUUCCCCCCAAUCUUCAAUCCUUAUUUUUCCAUGUUGUUGCAGAUGGUCGGGGGUUCUCGGUGUCCCGUAGUCGACACUUGGUGGCAAACGGAGACGGGAAACGGCAUGCUCCUUCCGCUGCCGGCGCCGUGGUUCCAGGCCAAGGCCGGCUCGGCGGGCGUGCCGUUCUUCGGCGUGAUGCCCGUACUUCUAGAUCCCGCAACCGGCACGGAACUCCCCAGUGAGUGGUCACUGAUUCGGGUGGUGUGGUGGAUGAGGUGGCGCGCUGGCUGGGGGGCCGGGCCCGGGGGCGCCCCGGGGAGGAAGUGGUGUGGCAUGGGUUUUUUUAAUGUGAUGGCCGCGAUGGGGCUGUAGUGGCUUUCUUAGGGUUUUGUUGUUCCCGGGGUUUUAGGGUUUUGGGGUUUUAGGGUGAAGGGGAGGGGGAGGGGAAUGGGGUAGGAGAGUGGCAGGGGGAAAAGGGCGGGACCGGACCUGGUCGGGGACUCUACUAGGGGGCAGGUAAGUUGCGAACUUGGGAUCCGUCUCCGUCACCCGGAUGGGUGACCCAGUGGCCACGACUCGAUGUAGACCUCCUGGAGCUUUUGCCCCCUUUGGGGGGGGGAGGGGAGCUGUGGUUGCGCGCGGUGGUAUGGCGUGACUGUUUAGUAAUAUAAGAUAUGUUCGUUUGGUGGUUGGUCGCUUGCGCGUAGGCAACGCCCCUGCCGAGGGCGUGCUGGUGUUGCGCGGCGUGUGGCCCGGCAUGGCUCGUACUCUGUACGGCGACCACGAACGCUGGGAGCAGGUCUACUUUGCGCCGUACAAGGUGAGUGUAGGUCGUCCCAGCUUACAGAAAGAAGAGAGGAUAGAAGGACUGAACCGCGAAGUAUACUUCUAUCUUGAUAAGCUCAAUCGUAAGAAGUGUCCUACAUUCAGAGCCUCUAACAAGCUUGGGCUGAAAGCAAAGUCAUCGCAUCCAUUACUGGGGUUGGAUGUUACGUAAUCUGGCCGUCAACCUCCGACCUGCCCCCAUCCCACACAGUAUUAUUCAACGGCUGAACGGCCGAUAUAUUAUGGCAUAUGCUUCGCUUGAUGUUUCUUUUGUGGGAUCUGCAUGCACAGGUCCUGGUGUCCAUGUUAGGACUGAGUGAACAAUAGGGGGGAAUUCACGGGUGAGUGGUGAACAGUAGGGGGCUUCCCUGGGUUGAUCAGCAGCUAGCUAUAGAUAUCUCCCCACCAGUGGUGCUUACGCAACAGGCAGGCCCCAGCCAGGUGGCGUGUCACACAUCCAUUAGUUUCAGUUACGGUGUCCACGAGGGGUCCGUCAAAGGCGGGGGCCCCAUAAACCGUUUAUGAUGGUUUUAUUGUUACAGUGCCGAUUAGAGCGCUAAGCGUCUUGAGUACUAAGUGCCUAGUCUAGUGAGAAUUACUUGGUCGAUCACUAGAUGGUGCACUUACGACGGGAAAAGAAAUAUAAUUGUGAAUGUCUCCGAGCCUACCAGGGAUCGAACCUGGAAUCUCCGGUUCCGUAGACCGGCGCUUUAUCCAUUAAGCCAUAGGCCCUCAUCGUCGUACUUGUACGAUUGAUGCAAAGGUAAAAUAUAUAUAUACUUGGCCUAGUACAACUACUUCGACCGCUACUUUUCGUAAUGUUAUUAAUCUGGUGAGAACCAUGUUUCACAGCACUACGGAUAAGUUUUUGUAUUUAAUAUUUUCAAUUUGUUAAACCAUACGCGACGUUACGAUUUGUACAGAGGGAAGUUCGCUAGAGGCCGAUGCCUGACAGGUAAUUAGUUCGUUAGUUCGUUAGGAAAAGGCUGCUGCGAUUUCCCUUCGGAUGUCCUAAAGAUAUGACUCCAUAAGACUCUCCUCCAUGAUGAAAAUUAGUCGCGCACACAACAAAUGGGAACACGCUCCGUACUGAUUAGUAAUGAUUUCUAACAACGUAACCAACCCCUUACCAUCGUCAUAACUCGUAACAUAACCCAACCCACACAACCGCCGCACACAGGGCUACUACUUCGCCGGGGACGGAGCCCGGCGCGACGAGGACGGUCACUACUGGAUCACCGGCCGUGUGGAUGACGUCAUCAAUGUGUCCGGUCACCGUAUCGGAACAGCCGAGGUGGAGAGUGCGUUGACGGAGCAUGCGGACUGCGCAGAGGCUGCCGUCAUUGGGUGGGUGUCUGGGGGCGGAACGGGGGGGGGAGGGAACGUGUGCGGCGAGUAAACCAUGGACACCAUGGACACGGACACCAGCACGGCGCAUCAGCAAUUGCGCAUCAGCAUGACGAGAAUUGGAAGGAGGGGACCUCUGAAGGAAAGCGAUGGACGUGUCGGGACCUAGGCCCAGGCAUCUGCCAGCGUGGUGGCUGCUAAGCUUUUGCUUUGCUUGUAUCACUAACCUUCUCUCUAAAGUCCACAACAUUGCAUCGCCACACAUUCCAAAACUUUCGGCCGCACUCUUCGCUGACCAAGUUUCCUAACUCCAUGCUCUCUUCCCUUCCCAUCUCCCUCUUUCCCCUUCCCUCCUCCCCUAUCCUACAACCGCUUACAACCAUCACCACCACCACCAUCAUCAUCGCCACCAAUAACAUUUCAGUGUUGACCACGCUCUUAAGGGUCAAGCUAUCUACGCCUUCGUAACUCUGCGCGGAGUGGACCACCAAAACAACGCCAUGCGCAAGACGCUCAUGGACCACGUGCGCAAGUGAGGAGGGCCUAGGAGGGUGAGGGGGAAAGGCGGCGAGGUGGAAAUAAAGUCAAAAUCGGGGAAUCGAUCACACCGACGUGUUGUACAUACGCUACGAGACAUACAUGGUUGAGAGCCAGACAGCCAGACAGACAGAUAGACAGACAGAUAGACAGACAGGCAAACAGGUAGGCAAAUGUGCGGGGAAGUUUUGCAGCACCACCUCCGCAGGAUCAAGGCACGUUGGCGCUGCAAGUGGAAGAAUAGGAUGUGUGUUGGGACGUCGGGAUGCUUUUGGAGGUACACGUAUGUCUAUGUAUAUGCGUGCGCGCGUGUGUGCGCGUGCGUGCGUUUGUGCGUGUGCAUGUGUGUGCGGGUGUGUGAGAGGGGGGAUAGGGGGGGAAGCCGUACCAAAGCAUGCUCCGUGACUGUCCCUACCCACCCACUGUCCCCCUCUUUCUCUUUCCCUCUCCUCCUUCCCGUUCAGGAGCAUUGGUCCGUUUGCGGUGCCCGACACCAUUCACUGGGCCCCGGCGCUGCCCAAGACCCGCAGCGGCAAGAUCAUGCGCCGCGUGCUGCGCAAGAUCGCAUCAGGUGUGUCGAAUAACCGUGUGCAUGUGGAGGAUGUACAAAGUGCGGGAGCAGGCGAGUCGGUGUGGUGUCAGGGGGCUGCCUUCCUUAGCGAACGUGGAAUUCAUUUCGUGCUAGCUCAAUAUUAUAUUUAUUAAGCUUACCAAAUAGCGGCCGUCACUUCCACCUGCGGAUUCUGCGUCACUGUGGAAGCCGGGGGAGCAUUUGUUGCUAUUGCUGCCUGUCCCCUCGUGCCUUCGCGCGGUCGGACUCUGGUAACCCGAACGGGGUUGUCCACUUUUCAAGCGACUGGUCCAGACGUGCGGUGCGGGCCGUGGGUCACAGGCCCUCCUGAAGCCUGAUGAUGCUGGUGCUGAUGCGGAUGCGGAUGCUGAUGCAGCGCAAUUCUUUCAGCCUCGAAAACAGUGGUAAAACACGCCAUCCCGCCUCUCGCUCCACACCGCACAACUUAUCCGUUACAGGUCAGGAGAAGGAGCUGGGGGAUGUGUCCACCCUGGCCGAGCCCGGUGUCGUGGAGAUGCUUAUCGGGCUGCGUGGCAAGUGAGGUCUCAGCAGCAGCAGCAGCAGCAGCAGCAGCAGCAGCAGCAGCAGCAGCAGGGGAGUAGGAGGAUGGGGAGGAUGAAGCGGUCAAUGUGGGGGCCCUGACCUGUUCGACUCGACAAAUGAGAUAGGAGGGGGCCUCAAUAUAACACAUAUGCACCGCGUUUGACAGCUUUUAACUAGACCGACGUCUUGUUUUACUGGUGUGUGUUACUGUAUGUCUGUGGGUUGAAUCAGAAUAUGAACUAGACCUGCAUGAUGACGAGAUGGUGAUGACGAGAUGGUGAUGACGAGAUGGUGAUGACGAAGUGGUGAUGACGAGAUGGUGAUGACGAGAUGGUGAUGCCCCGCAGGGGCCUCGGGCCUCGGGCGGACGGAUGUUACUAUUCUGUAUUUUUCGAUGUACUGCAGUGUAUGACACGGCUGUGUACGACGCAAGGUAGUUGUGGGACGCUUGGGAGUGAAAUGAAGAAUAAAGAAAUGUAUGUGGAGGGGAUUGUGGCUUGCGACAGAGUUGGGUAGGAAGGUCUGUUCGUGGUGUGUGAUGUGUAGUAGCGCGGGGGUGUUGCACCACCGUAACGGGAAAAUUGCAAAUAUUGGGGUGGGGGUUCGGCAGCGGUGCUGCUGGUAUGGGAUUGGCGUGGGGCCGGAAUGAGCUUGGGAAGAACAGUGCAAGAAAGUGUCGUAUCAGCGUGUAUGCAGACACCGGUUGUGGCAGUGCUGCUGCUGCUGCUAUUGCUGCUGCCGCUGCUGAGACGCGUGUAUGGCGAUGCAGUUUUGUUGUAUCAACAGGCUUGGGCUGUGAAGCGGUUGGUUAGCUUAGCUGGUAGCUGGCAUCGAAAAUGUUUCGAUAUGUGUUCGUCUGGAAGAUCUCUUUAUGUAUGUGCAGAAGAUCAUCAUCGUCUUAUAACAGCAACGGGAAGCCAAUCAUAUCGACGGCCCAUGUGCCGCUGCUGGGCCAGAAUUGGUUUGUCCCGUGGGCGCCUUAUGUCGUACAUUGUCGUUCUUUGAGGUACGGGAGCUCCUUUGAUGGCGCCAAGUGUCAGCCAGGCUGGGAUCGUGUUAUAGGAGGAGAGAGGAGCGGGCAGAGCUCGUGGAUUCCUCGGUCAGCCUUCCGACGCCCGGUGUUAUAUAUCGGAGGGAAGAAAUGGUUGCUAAGAGCGUGGGCGAGCGAUGGGGACUUUUACGACUAGAGCUAUCGACGGCGAGAAGGCUGCUAUGGGAGAGGUGCACAGGGCCACAAAGCCGUCUUCCUUCCCCUCGUCAGAUCAUCGUAACGGUCAAUAGUCUGGGCGCGAAUAUUAAUAACAGGGUUGCAUUCCAAGCACCCUGAGACGCUUCAGAAACUCAAGUGGUUGUUUGGAUGGUUAAAUGGCUGCCGUUGAAGUGAUGUAUAUUGAUUGUCGAAGUGGGUAUACGGUCCUGACCACGGUUACUGUUUUAUGGUUGUGCACCGAGUCGCUUCCUCCUCAACAUAGUAACAAGUAAGCGAGAAUUAGGAAACAAUUUUGUGCUCGAAGGUCGGCUGGUGGUAACACUGUGACCCCGUUGACGUACGCACGACUGUACGGCUGUGCGGCGCAACCCCCCCCCAAAAAUAUGAAAUCUGUCAUCGCAGUAAUGUGUAAACUACGGACGAGCCGGGUGUACAACCCGUACUUGUAUGAUCCUUACUUGGCCAUGAAUGCACCGAUGGUUCCAUUUCCGACAAGACUUCAAAAAGCAGUUUACUGAUAUUACUGGAUAUGGCCCCGACCAAACACUAAAUCUUGAAUGAUUACCGCGCGGCCUCAUAUGCGGUUAGCAGCGAUGUCGCCAAGCAGCGCACUCGUGCAUCCAACCCUAAGGGCGCCCAGGGAUGGGAAGCUAGAUGGCGUGUAGCUUGGACCCCCCCGGUUUGCAAUCCCAUUGGACCCCCCCCGUAGCUACUUUCAGGCUGGACGGGGUCUCCGUGAACUCGAGCCCACCACCACCACCUGGCUUGUGUACGCAUGUGCAUGUACGCGCUGCACUUGCCCCGUACUUCCCGUUCUUGUUGCGACCAGCAGCAGGGGGCACUCCAGGGCACUCCUACACACCCCGGAGUCCUAUACAGCCAAGCACAGCCAAGGUUUAUAGUGACCUCGUUAGCUGCGGCAAUUAGCUCGGGUGUCACAGCAUUCACUGCAGAGCCGGUAAGGAUUCAGCUGCGAGUGCCGUACGUUGCCGUACUUAUCAGGCCACAUCAGGGGCUCAUCGGAGCUGUGGCCACAACAAGCCCAUCAGCUGCCAUCCAUCCGCCCUGUUUGGGGUUCGGGGUUGAGACAGGAAGGUAGUUUGGGUAUAGCGCCACGUGUGUAGUUGGCGGUCGAGGAGCUGUUCGGAUUUAUUGCUGGGCAGGGUUGUGUUGGGUAUGGGCGCCCAAAAGCGCGCGUGCCGCGCUUGCCGGAGCUGACCGUCGCACGGACACGUUCGGCCUCAGCAAGACCAGACAGGGAGUUAGGAAAGCAAGGCGUUUUCUUCCUGUCUGCAUCCAGGCCUCUGCUGACUCGUUCUCGUGGGCUCCAAGAUCCAGAGACUGCGUUGCAGCCAUGCGGAAUAAAUGUUUCUUUGGUUACGUAAUGCUAGUGUCCCAAAAUUGCGAUGAUGUAUUCACCCAGAAUGCCAAGCUCUAUAACUAGAUGUGGGACGCACGCCAAGGCUCCGAUGUAUUCCGUAUGACUUGUUACAAUGACCACGUCAUUAAAGAGUUAUGUGCUAUCCAUUCAUACAAAACGUGGGCUUAAGCCGCGCCCUUUGUGUUGGGCAUGACGAAUACGAAGCGGUCAUUAAAAUUUGUAACCGAAGACAUGAAUGUCCCCAUUACAAAUUACCAUCACCUGAGUAAUCACAAUACUUAAGGAGCAGGAGACGAUGACACGGCGCUUUCCAAUUUCCGAGGCGGUCAUUCUUUCAGUUAAAGGGGGGUACGGUAGGGUUGAAACCUAUCCAUGGAAAUAAUAGCCUAAUGUACGAAGCACUCGCUUUGGACCUUUUUACAUGUUUUUUCUAUACCUAGGCUAUAACGGUUACUAAUCCUGCUUAAAAUUAUAUGAUGGUAUUGAGCUCCUGACAAUUAUUUUGACGUGGAAACUGUGUUAUUGUCUCCCGGUGUGCAUACUUGAGAUAAAAUGUAGAAUGUAAUAGCUUUUGCCUAUGCUUGGUAGCUUCUCAGCGAUCCAAACAUUAGCCCGGCCGCUUCCGUGAGUUGCUGGGCCUGGGCCAAAUGACAGCCACGAGAAACCAGCAAUGAUUAAAUUAGCUGUUUGGUCUCUAGUUGCAACAUUUAUUUGGAUCGGUGCAGCUGGGACAGAUUUUGCGGAGCUGAGGAGUGGCCGCGUCGACCUUCGGUGAGUCACAAGCGCGUUCCUUUUACCCAGUAAAAAUUAACUUUUCCAUUAAGAUGAAAAUAUUUGGUAGAGAUUAUGGAAACGUUGUGUUGAAAAUUUGGGGUAGGCCGCUGGUGGUGGGCGCAUCUAAAGGUAGCCCUUAAUGAAAUAUAUGAGCCUUUUCAUUUGAGUUAUGAAAUCAAAUCUAUUGGUCCAUAUAUUGCCAUUCAGCUGCCAUCGCCUUGCCCCGGACGACCUAGCUAGUGAGUGCAAUCGUGGUGAAUGGUACACGGGCACUUAAGCCAAUAAGGACAUGGGCUCACUAAAUAGAGCUUCCAUUAAAUUCCGGUGAAUACCAAGAUGGGGUGGGAUAUGUACGGACGUGAACCCUUAGUUACCCAAGGGGGCUGUCAGAGCCUACAUCGGUUUGCGUUAAGGGAAUGGUUUCUUCUGUCUCCAGAUGCAGGGACAGCUAGCAUCUGUCAACUGUUGUGCACGUGUGCACCUUGCUGGCUCGUGUUGCUCCUCUCCUCCUGCCGCCGAUUGCCCGCUGUUUACUACCUGGCCGCUUACGAAUUGUGCGACGCAUGAAUCUAGACAUGCUACCCACGCACCCACAACUACCCCAACCAACUGUGCAUGCACGAAUGCGUGCGUUGCUGCCGGGCACCUCGCUAGCACAGCCCCCUCGACACACAUGUCCACCAAACAUGGCAAUGCAUGAAUCCUGCUCGGGGAGUAUUGUCCUGGCUGUGAGUCGCGGCCACGUAUCCUCGCGGGCUGGUGCGUGUGUUAGCCGUGGCUAACUGCGAGCCAGCAGGACCGCUGUCGUAUGUAUCAUAGCUAAUAGUAGUUAGCUAGUACGAAUGGCUGCAUGGUAAGCAAAGCAUGCAUGUAUCGCCUAAGCUGCAGUGAAUACGGGCCGCACACGUGGCUUAGAAGAGUCUCCUCGCUUUCCGAUGGCCAUGCGCAGGCCUGCAACAGUCUAUGGCGAAUUCUACGAUAGCAGCAGCAGCAGCAGCAAAAGUGCGAGCAGUGGCGACAUCAGUGAUUAUAGCUACGUAUACAUUAGCAGCAGUAGUAGUGGCGACGACUACUACAGUGGCGGUGGCAGCAGCGGCAGUAGCAGCAGCGGCAGUGGCAGUAGCAGCAGCAGCAGCAGCGGCAGUAGCAGCAGCAGCAGCGGAAGCAGCAGUAGCAGUGACUGGAGCGCCAAAAGCAGUAGCAGCGGCGGCUAUAGUUACAGCAACAGAAUCUUCAGCAGCAAGACCCUUGGCAGCAGCAGCAGCAGCAGCAGUAGCAGUAGCUCCAGCAGCUCCGAAUCCUCUUCUGGCGGAGGGGAAAUAAACCCUAAUGCAGUCGCUGCUCUCAUCCCGGCAGCAACCACCUCACCAUCAUCCGCUUCCGAUGCAGACGGAACGCUCCAGGGCCCACAGUUGUUCCUCCUGAAAUAUCCCGGUGGGUGGGUGGGAAGCUAAAAACUAGCUGGCCGAUACGUGAAUGAACCCCCUCACCUUUUCUCCUGUACACCGAAUGCCUGCCACUAUCAUUACAUCCCAUACGCACUUGCUGUGCACCACUGCCUGUGGCCAAGCAAAAACCAUAUCUGCAGGCAGGUGAUGUUGAGAGAGACGACCCUAUCUACCCCGCACCUAUCCCGAUUUCCGAUUUCAUCGACUACCGCCACCUACGCAAGUUUGCACUCGCACGAUGGGUGUUGGCGCGGCAUGCUGCAUGCACUGUGCCCAGCCGUUAUCAUAUCCAGCAGCCCACAUCCACACCCACAUCCACAGCAGUCACUCGUCCUUUAUUUGCUGCUGCAGGUGCCGCCGCUGUGGGCGCUGCUAUUCUGUCUGAACUGGAGUCUGAUGACGGCCGGGUGGUGUCGUACAUCCCGGAUUCCAUUCUCCUGGUGUUUGCCACCCUCAGUCAGGUGGUGAAGGUGGCUAGUCGGCACGGGGCACUAAUGGUGCGUGUGUGUGGCCAUGCAUAUAAUAUGUAUGUAUGUAUGUAUGUAUUUGUAUACCCACGUGUUACAUGGAAGCCUCACUUAGACCAAACGCAUACGCAUAGACGGACAGGUAGAUGGAGGGAUGAGAUAAUGCAGAAGAAAAGCAAGGCUGAAGCUCCAACUGCAUGCCCUCGAAAGAGAGCCGGGCUACGCAGUGACGUGCUAUUGUAAUGCCACGGCUAUCCCCUGCAAUCAUGAUGUGAUGGUGGCUGUUUAUAUUCACAGUCGUGUCGGCCUAGGGAAAUAAUGCCCUCGGAUAAUGAGGGGCCCAGGCGCCUACGUGUGCGUAUGUAUGUAUGUAUGUAUGUAUGUAUGUAGCCUGUGAUAUGAUAGGUAAUGGCGUAGUAAGGGUAAUUUCGAGCCAAGUUAGGCAACUCCCCACAUUGGGGAUGGAUGCAGAUGUGGGAGCAGGAGUGUGCUAGAUAUGGCACACCCCAACAGGUACCCAUUCACAUAGCCCACAUGUGUCGCUGCACAGGCGCCGUACGAGUACGAUAGCAAGCUAUCUCCGGAGACCCUCCAAGUGGUCCAAGCUGCCAGCCCUGCCCGCCGCCGUAGCCGCCGCCGUCGACAACUGCUGCUAACGAAAACCAGCAACGUCAACAGCAACGGCGGCUUCCCCGCCAAAAAUGACAAAUCAAGGUUACAUGUAAAAAGCACCCGCCAUCCAAAUCGUCAUAAAUACCGACACCAACAUCGCGGCAAGUCCCGCCGCGACCCCCAAGUCCCCCCAAGAGGUUCCAGUUCCAGUGGGCCCGAUCCGUUGGACUACCAACAGGGUUUCGACGACGGGCCGACCGCCGUGGCGAAUGCGGCUGCCGUGUCGGAUGGCGAGAGUGCGCUCCGAAACCUCAAGACAUGGAGCUGGCGGCCCACCGGAGGACACCAUGGCCGCACCCGCAACCACAAUCCUUCCUCAGGGAACACAGCUGCCAUGAUUAGCUCUCGGGGUACUGCAGCUGAUGCGAAUGAGGGCAAGGAUGCGGAGGGGGCUGCUGCCGGAGACAGUUCCCGUAGCGGCACAAGCACGGGACUGCGCCGGUGGUUUGCAGAAGAGGCUGUCGUGAUUGUCAGCAUGGGUGGAAGCGAGCCAGAAGGGGAGGGCGGCAAUGACGACAGCGUUCCUACGGACACCGCCGCCGCUGCAGUAGCGGCAGUUCACCCGCGGCGUACAACGUCGCUGCUACAGCCUCCGACGGGUCCUAGCGACACAGCCGCUUCCACUUCCGCGGCCGCUGGCGAUGCUUCCAUAAAAUCGGACGGCGACGAUCCAGAGUUGUCAAUCACUGCAGGGAAGGAGCGACGACUGGCGGACAAAGCUACGGGAGAUACAGAUGCGGAUGAAGGUACUGAUCUUUAUGGGAUUGAGGUUCAUUUGGUGCCAGGACUGCCGUACGAGAUCCACGAGGGCGCGCUUCGUCAAUGGCCUGACGCGCUGGCCCAGGUGCUCGGUUUCGCUUCCAAUUCUUCCGAGCCCUGCCGGCCUAAGGCUGAUGGUGAUGCGCUCAACGGCACACAUGCCGUGUGGCUUCUCAUCUUCUUGUGUGCCGAGGUGGGCGCCUGAGUGCUGCUGGGUAGCUACUUGGGAAGCUAAAGCGGGAAGGGAAUCGGGAAUCGGGGGCAGGAUGGGGAAUCUUUGUUUGAAGGUGGGCGGGGCCGCAAUAAUUAAUGUGUCACACGAAGCGGGAGAUUGAGGGCGCCAAUUUUUGCCAUUUUGUGUUUGUUUAGGCGUCUCUCCCUGGGAAUUAUUUAUUUCUUAGCAAGGUUGUGCACAGAGGUCCAUCUCAAAAACAGUCUAUUGUCGUGAGAGCGCGACGGUGCCGAGGCUACGUCGCGCCCUCAGUAUGUAUUGCAACUGACCUUGCAACAGGCACGACGCACUCUCGGCAAAAGCGCGGUUGGCGUUGGCAUGGGGCUGGCUAAGUACCUGCGGUUCUGCCAGUGGUGCCGAAUAAAAGGUAAUAAUCCCCAUGUCCCUUUUCUAUUCCCCCGAUGCCAUGUAUCCUGAACAGGACAUGCAAGACGGCGUCGAGUGGCUCUCCAGGCUGCCCAUCGUCACGUGGCUAGCCCCGGCGCUGCACAUGACCGUACACAAUGACGGGGGGGGAUGGACAAUACAGACAGGUUAGUUGCGCUGCGCCACCUACCACCGUUCAACUGCUACAUCAGCCUGUGGUGGUGGUGGUGGUGGCCAACACACAGAAAAUUGCGUUGUUAGCGCUUUGGGGCGGAGCUCCAUGAGCUCCCUUGGGCGGCUCUCACCACAUGUAUAAUACACAUAUGCAUGUGCAUGUGCAUAUAUAUAUAUAUGACUAUAUAUGACUAUAUAUAUAUAUACUAUAUAUAUACUAUAGUCUAUAGACUAUAGUAUAUAUAUAGUAUAUAUAUAUAUAUAUAUGACAGUAGUGCGAGCCGACCAAUUCCCGUACAUCAACCACAUCACCACAUGAUUCACGUCACAUGCAUUCUCGUCACACUCACCACGUUGCGCCGCACCCGCAGGGAACCUGACCGGGGAGCGUUUCAAUGACCCCACUGCCUUGCUGCGGCCCUUCUGGGCGGCUGGAAUUCGCGGUGAAGGCAUGCUUGUCGGGGUAGGUGCACCUGGCUGCGAGUAUGAGUAUGCAUAUGCAUAUGGAUAUGCAUAUGCCGCAAUGUGGCGGAAAGGGCAUUGCAUGCAAUUGCACGCCUGGCUCGAGCAUGUGUAAAACUACAGUGGUACCCGAGUGUGGGUGGACGAGGAACCCUUUUUCCUUUCCACCCUUGUCGCCGUAUGUACCGGAUGCAUUUCAACCGGAUGUCGGAGCGGCCAACACCCACCGACUGCGAGCUACGAAACCACGCAACCCACGCAAGUUACAAUCUAACCAUCCUAACCUCCGCUUCGAAAAUGAAACCUUGGCACCUUUGGGAAGGGCUCACCUUUGGUCACUUUGCCGCUAAAGCGAAUCACGACAAGAACUCUUUGGUUGUCCCCCAAGGGAAAACUCUUGGGGAUGAUUUCCCCUUGGUCAUCAAUUCACCGUCAGAGGCGAUUUUGAUAUGAAUUCACCGUCACAUAUGUGUGUAUGUGCUGUGUACGACACGUACUGCAGAUGGGGGACACUGGGGUGGACUUAACGCACUGCUCCUUUCUGGACGAGCGGUACGACAUCGGCACACUGAAAGGCUUGCUGACCGGGACGCCCCUCAGCUGGACCCUUGAUCACCGGAAAAUCCUGCAGUACAUCGCAACCAGUGAGCGUUUUGAGUCACAAGGGUUUGUUAACCGAAUAACUUUUAAACAUGACGUACAUUCUGUUCCGAACAUAUACAUGGCUUAGCACGCCAUGCUUGAUGAACUGAUGAGCCAACAACGCUGUAUACACACCUAAGGUGGGCUCUAGAGUCCGCUCCAACGUAUCUAUCGCACUCUGCGGCGCUGGUCGAACUCCCCCAUAAUGAUUUAGUGCUCCGUAUGCCUCAAACAACCUCACGCACCCCCAACCAUGUAACACACACACACGUGUGCCUCAUACAUACAAGGGUUCUUUCAUGACGGUCCUUGUCUACCUGGACGCAGCGCACACCAGAUAGCCGUGCAUGUCCGCAUGUCUUCCGGACGUACAUAUCUUCCCCGUGUGUGUAUGUGUGUGUAUGUGUGUGUAUGUGUGUGUAUGUGUGUGUAUGUGUGUGUAUGUGUGUGUAUGUGUGUGUAUGUGUGUAUGUGUGUAUGUGUGUAUGUGUGUAUGUGUGUAUGUGUGUAUGUGUGUAUGUGUGUAUGUGUGUAUGUGUGUAUGUGUGUAUGUGUGUAUGUGUGUAUGUGUGUAUGUGUGUAUGUGUGUAUGUGUGUAUGUGUGUAUGUGUGUAUGUGUGUAUGUGUGUAUGUGUGUAUGUGUGUAUGUGUAUGUGUGUAUGUGUAUGUGUGUAUGUGUGUAUGUGUGUAUGUGUGUAUGUGUGUAUGUGUGUGUGUAUGUGUGUAUGUGUGUAUGUGUGUAUGUGUGUAUGUGUGUGUAUGUGUGUGUAUGUGUGUAUGUGUGUAUGUGUGUAUGUGUGUAUGUGUGUAUGUGUGUAUGUGUGUAUGUGUGUAUGUGUGUGUAUGUGUGUGUAUGUGUGUGUAUGUGUGUAUGUGUGUAUGUGUGUAUGUGUGUAUGUAUGUAUGUGUGUAUGUGUGUGUAUGUGUGUAUGUGUGUAUGUAUGUAUGUGUGUAUGUGUGUGUAUGUGUGUGUUUUACACCUUACCCUCCGAAGCUGUAACGGCCAGCCUAGGGAUUUCCGAAAUGGAAUAAAACGCGUGGAUUGAAAAACGGGAUUAAGAAAUUGUCAUCCUAUCACUCAUCACGAGGAAAGGAAAGGAAAGGAAAGAAAUGUCGCAUUGACAGACAGACGCAUUUCACCAGUAGCGGUGCUGACCGCUGAGGUGGUUCUUUGGGUACACGAUAUGUUGCGAUUUCCGCAGACACAAGUGAUGACUUUGGGGACAAUGCGGGAGGCCAUGGUUCGCACGUCGCCGGCAGCAUUGCGGGAUCCUUCCUCGCGGGAGGCAGCAACUCGACUUUCGAUAGCAAAGCGCCGGCCACCGGCUCUGCGCCGCUGGCGCGCCUCAGCAUCAUAGACCUCGCCCCGCAGGACACGGCCGUCCUGAACGUCCCCGUCCCCAUCGACACCAACUACCUUCCGGUGUGUGGUUGAGAGGGCGGGUACUUUAUAUGUGCAUGGCCUGGAUGCUGGAUUUCAUACGGGAAUGUGAGGGCCUCGUUGGAUAACAAAGGGAAAGUCCGUCGGUAAAACCGCGUCCCCACUGAGUUGCGCUGUCCUGUUGCACGUGCGUAUGUAUGUCUGUGCAUGCGUCUCCUGCAGCUGCACUACCGGGUCGGCGUCAAGAUUUCGUCCGACAGCUGGGGCGCGGUCGGGGCAGAUGCCGUGGUGUACGACAGCGCUGCCCAAGGCUUCGACGCGUUCGCGUGGAGGAACCCCGACUUCAUCAGCCUGGUGGCUGCGGGCAACAGUGGUGCGUGGAUUCGUGGGUUCGUGGAUUCCUGAGAGAAGAUUGAUUUUGAUUUACCCUUUGAAUUAAAAGAGGGUCUGCCACCACGGAGUCAUGCACGGAGUCAUGCACAGCCGGUGUGUGUUGCGGAUACGUAGCUGUUUUACCACCGCAAAGCCGCAGCAUGCCGCUACUUUGCUACGAGCGACUCCAUCACCCGACCGGAGCGAGGGCACUUUACCUUUUCGACACUGCUGUCCCGUCUUGCUGUUGUGGACGAGCAUAGGGCAGCGGACCGUUAGUUUUACUACACUAACAACCUAACUGUUUAGGCAAAAAGCCCUGAUGCAUCACGGACUAUGAUGGCGUGAUGGAAAGCCCCUCCUCGGUCCGACAGUCCUAAGGAAUUGCGUUGUUUGCUCCUUCCGUCGUGUGCGUUACGAAUAUGCAGGAGGGAAAGCGCGAAACAGGAUGCACACACAGGGCCCUCAUUCGCGCACAACACUCUUGUUUUUCUUUUUGAAAUAAUAAAAACAUCACCCUACAAUCCCCCAGGGUACAGCGGGCGCAUGGCGACAGUCUGCACACCCGCAACGGCGAAGGUACGGCGAAGAUUUGCUGAUGGCAGUCUAUCUGCUGUACAUAUACUGACAUACGCGCCUUUAAGGAUGGGACGUCGACGACAAGCAAUGUCGUACAAAAUCUUUAGCCACAUCACACACAGACGGGGCGUUGGUUUUGCUCCGUCCACAACAGGUGGCUCAUUACAACUAAUUACUGUACAGAGGGCUCAUCUCAUUGAUUGUUCAGAUGUUCUGUUCGUAUGCUGCUGAUCCUUUCCCGCUACUCCGUGAUCUUUUCCAUCCUCAUAAGCUGCUUCCCAACCGAUAACCAGAACGUCAUCGCUGUGGGCGCAACCGUCAACCACCCCAAAGACGUCGCAAGCAUGGGGGACCAGUACGCCUUCAUGUUCCAAUACCGUGACGCCAACGGCAGCAUCCAAUCGCAAGCGGUACGGCACGUGCACUUACGUACGGCAGCAUACAUAAGCAGCUUUCUAGCCCCCAUGCAGCGAGCAUGUUGAGGCACUAAGAUGCGCAACCUAACGGAAAGCUGUUCGCACAGUGCCCCCGGGUGUACAGAGUGACACAAAAACCGCGCCUUCCUUUCCUGCUUCCCUUGCUUUUUAUCGCGCCUUCCUUUCCUGCUUCCCUUGCCGUCGGAGAAAAGUUUAUCAAAAACACGUUCUCUCAUGUCCGUUGGGCCAUCCGGCACUGCCGGCCUGUGCUGCAGCCCCAUUCAGUACCCUGACCGGCCUAGCUUGAAGAGGAAAUGUUUCAAUUGUUGCAUUUGAAUUUGAAUUACCUGAUGUAUGCACCCGAGCUUGCGCACCAAGUGCCCUACGUCAUGACGUGCCACCGUACGGCACCACUGAUGCCGUACACAUUUUGGGUGACAGGUUUCUCCACGCGCCGGGUCUGGCGUCCAGGCGUGGUACAAACUGCUCAAUGGCAAGGUAGUCCUGUACGGGUAGGGAUGCCGUACACGGUGGUGUAUGGUUCUGUGUGUUCAUCGCGCCUCACUAUCAGCUUCUUGCUUCUUUGCACUUGGUCUUGUGGUCCUCAUGCAAAUUGCAUCUCUGUGUGUGUGCCUACCUGUUACAUGGUUGGGGGUGCAUGAACCCAUACCUGUAGAACUACCCAUACGAGCUGGUAUCCUUGUUGCCUGUUGGAAAAUUCCACUUCACUUGUUGUAUCACAAAUUUGUUUAAUGGAGUCCGAGGAGAGGGCGGGUGAAGGCCAUUUCGAAAUAGUAAAUGAGAGGAAGCCGGCGUGCCUACCUUUCCCCAUGCCCGUCGAAGCAUGUGUUGCUAAGUAUUUUGGCUAACUUCAAUAAUAGCUGUUACCAGCCGUUUUAUUAAGUCCAACAAAGAGUUCAUCUACAAAUUGCCAAAAACAGAUAAAAUGAAAAAGCUAAUUAUUAAAAUACCCUUUGCCUCUAUAAUUUUUGCGGCUGUUAACUAACUUCACUCUUGGGUUGGUUCUUGCGGUGUGCCACGGCUUGCAGGCUCUGCCUGUUGUUUUGGCCGAGCCGAGGGGUGCCUGCAAUCUGUCCAGUGGGAAUAAUAUCAGCCAGUUCGUCUUGAUGGUGGACCUCGGGGACUCGGAUUGCUCGUACGGGCUGCGUGCAACCAACGUAAAACUGUCAGGCGCAGCUGCGGUCGUCUUCAUCCGGCCGGACGGUAAAUUCGCAACGGAGGACCUGGCCGGCUUCGUUGCGCCGCGACUGAUGAACUACACCAUCAUCACGAAGGUGCGUCGACGCGCGUGUGCAUGUAUACUGCUUAAAAAAUAUUUUGCCAACUUUUUUGAAAAAGAAGGGUGUAAAACAGACGGAGGAAGGUCGCGAAAUUUUGUAUCAGCUCCAUCCCGAAGAGUUUUCUUGCAUCACGAUUUUAUUGCAGACCCGCAUGCCGUAUCAUGGUACGACACUUAGCAUCAGGACGUCUCGUACACCUCCCUUGUGCAUUUGUUUGUGUCCCUUAAUAUUAACGACCGUGUUUGACCGUACCACACGAAGCCUUUCUGUAACUGUUGUGUCAUUCCGUUACCGUUAUUCCGUUACUGCUUUGUCGUUAGCUUGGUACUUCCCUCCUUACACCAUCUCAACAGUCACGAACCGUGUUUCUCAACAAGUCCCGCUCUAACAGCCCCAAAACACAAUUUCCAUUUUAGCAGUUGCAAAGCAUUCCUACAUUGCUACUGCAUUUCCACGCUACAGCAAGCGUCUCUGCUCCAAAGCUUGCGGGAAGCAAAACAAACAUGCAGGUGAUGAAAAAAUCACGUCAUCGUGCUGCGUCCUACACGUGCUUCUGCGCUGCCGUACCUGCCGUACCUGUCGUACCUGUAGGCGCAAGGGCAGUGGAUCAUAGACAUCAUGACCAACAGCUCCAACUCCCAGUUCAACCUGGCUUUCCUGUACUACGUGAGUGCGUGCAGCUUUUCAUGUCGCUGUGCUUGUCGGUGAUUAUGUUAGUAAAACUACGCCAACAUGUUAGAACUUCUUACAAGUUACUUUACUUGUCACAAGUUGUAACCUGUCAUAUCACACGACCUUUUCAGGUUAGGGACGGAACGGUGAAUACAGAUUCCAUGAUGUGCCCAGGAUACUACAUCUCUGUAACUUGUCACUACAACAGAUAGAUCUCGUGGUUUCUAUAUACGGACAGCAAGCGAGAGAGGAGCCAGGGAGACAUGCAAAUACACAAUUAUAUUCAUCAAUCAACCGCAUCGCCGCCAACACGCUCCGUCGCUUAUCUUUUCCAUAGGCGUACCCUACCGUACCCUAGACGCUUGCGCGUACCGCCCUGCUGCCCCCUGUGUGUUGCUUCAUUCGCAGCCCCUUGUGAAGAUGGGGAUCGACACGGUGGCCAGCUUCUCGAGCUAUGGGCCUCUGCAAGACGGCCGCAUCAAGCCCGACAUCGUGGCGCCCGGGGCACCCGUGCGGUCGGCCUUCGCGGCAGCUGCCUCGUCCUCAGGAAGCAACAACAACGUUACCCGUAAGCACUACUACGGAAAGGAACUCUAUAACAACGAACACGAACAAGAAGGCAGCAGCUGCAUCCAUGUAAAACUUAUUUGACUCGUUUAGCCCGCCAGCUGCCGCGGCCGCCCCAUCUUGGCUUUGCUUUUGAUGUGUUGUAUGGGCGCACGGCUUCAUCUCCCUGCAUAAUCUGUUACUGAAAACGUUUUCUCCUUUGCCGUACAUCCGUACGUGUGUGUGCACACCCGCAGGGCAGACGUGUUCGGGGGCUAUGCAGUACUUGUCCGGAACGUCCAUGGCGACACCGCUGGUGGGCCCGGCAUCAGAUAUCUGGGGGAGAUGCAGCACAUGCUGUGCGGUGGUUGUGGUGGUGGAUAAGAAGAGUUGUUGGUGAUGAUGGAUGGGUGGAUGGGUGGAUGGGUGGAUGGGUGGAUGGGUGGAUGGGUGGAUGGGUGGAUAGAUAGAUACAGCUGGAUGGCCGUCGAUUCCAUAUCGCACAGGUCCGCCCGAACAUCUUAUUGAACCCCGCUGCUGGGGCCUUUCUUAGAGCUAUCUAGACAGCGGCCCUUCAACGAAAGGGGGUUGCCAGGCAGCAAGCCGGGCCCAUACAUCCAGCCAUGCAUACAUGCGCACGUUCCGUACUCGGACGGAUGGUUACCGACCUGCACACCAAGAAAAGAUCGACCUACAAGGGAGUCCCAAAUGACCCAAAUGACUCAAAUGGAUGCACGUGUACGUACUAAGCAAGGGAUUUGGAUAGCUCGGUUAGCCCGAAUUGGGUUUGACGCGAACCGAAAAAUAUAAAACAACAAUAGUUUUCUUGUGCGUUUUUAGAUAUGUAUGUAUGUAUGUAUGUAUUGGGGACCGCCUUCGGCUGGCUCUUUGGUAUGGGCCCCUCACGGCUCGUAUGGGCCCCUAGGCUACUACACCUUUGGGGGGUAACGCAACCCCAGGAGGUGUAUAACACACACAUGCACACGCACACGCACACACACACACACACACACACACUAAGGACGGUUUUGCCUGGUUCCCCCAUGGUGUGUUUGCAAUUCCACUACAGGCCUCCGGGCAUAUAGCCCUGAUGCGCCAAUACUUCAGGUAAGCUCGCCUGAAUGACACGAACGAGACCAUCUGAUGGGACGACUGCGGCGAUGUGCCCGUGUCCCCUGCGCACGUCGGGGGGGGGGGGGGGGUGGCCUUGUUAGGGUGGCCUUGUUAGGGUGGCCUUGUUAGGGUGGUCUUGUUAUGGCUCCCUAAGGAACGUGCGCAGGUCACCUUGUGGUCACAUGGGUUGGGGCCGCACGCAGAACGUUGGUGUGGUGUUCCUGAUGACUUAUUAGAGCGGUAGCUACGCACGCAGCCGCCAUCCGGUGUGAUGCGUUGGAAUACCAAAAUCCAAAAAUUGGGGAAAGGACUGCAGCCAGUAGCAUGCGUGCGUAUGUGUGUAUGUGUGUGUGUGUGUUACAUGGGGGUCGUGGGGGUGCGUACCCCCUACCUACAAACCGUCCAAUACGCGCUGAGGGGUCAGGGGCAGCUGGAUCGCCUAAUCAAGCACCAUCCGACUUCGCAUGUAGAUAGAGGCGGAGAGAGAAAGAGAGAGGCGCGUUGCGCGCGGAGCAUGUUUACGGUAGGCAUGUCCACCAUGACGGGUAGGAAAACACCUGGGGGGGGUAAACCGAUCCCCCGCGCCCCACAUGACGGCCGUGUCUGGUGAGCUGUGUGCCGCAGGUACUUGGCUAGGUUGCGAUUCGCACAUGUUGUAUCAGGCCGCAUGUAGACGCGUACUUCCUAAUCUCUAAGUGGCCUCCUGGGGGCCCGCUUCCGUCUGCCUUUCCGGGCGGUUCUGCGCGUCUGCCGCCAGGGAUGGGUUUUAUCCGCAAGGAGACAAGACCUCUGUGGAAUCCACCGCCUUCGAGCCGUCGGGCAUGCUCCUCAAGGUCAGUCUUAAAGUGUCCUGCAGAUGAUUAUGUACGAAAGUUACAUAUUUGUCGAAGUCAGCGAGCAGUGAUCAAGGUAGUAGGAAUACAGGAGGCGGCAGCAGCAGCAGCAGCGGCAGGCGAAAACAGGUCAAAACCAAUAAAACCGGUGCCUGCACGGCCGGUCGGUAACCAUGAUUAGCCGUGCCUCAGGUGUUAUCCAAGAUCUCAGCUGAAGCCCGCUGGCUGCUGCUGGUAAUGUAGCUCGGAAACCAUCCGGCGGUGCGGUCACUGUCACUUUCGUGAAUGCCGCCAGCAGCGAUCUCUUAGGUAUCUGGCUCUUGCUGGUCGAGCCUGCAAAUCAUGCAUGCUUUCAUGCAGUUCAUAAUACGGCUCAUUUCCUUUUCAUUCUUCUGCCGCGUGUCGCCCCAGGCCGCGGCCAUCGUCGGGGCCACAUCGCUCCAGGUGCGCGUGAUCGGGGCCCUGUACAUGUGUGUGUGUGCGUGUGUAUGUAUGUGUGUAAAGGCGGCUCGCACAGUUCCUUUGGCCGAAAGGACCGGAGCCGUAGCCAUGCACGCGGUCCACGUGAAACACAACUCCAGGUGCACACGCCGCACACACCCGCGCACACCGCACAUGCAUACACUAGGCAGGCGGCUGGCAGAAGUUAAGGCCUGACUUCUGCUCCCAGUCGAUCCAGUCGACCCGGGUUCAAAUCCGCCUGCCAGCUCCUCGGGUGAUUGAGGAGUGAUGAAAUGGGAGGUGGCCCCCCAUCAUAUGGACGGUGUAGGACGUGAUAAUAUCAACUUGCGAGCUGACCAGGAACUAAGUUGAUGCGCCGUUGAUCCGCUAGAUUUGGUUUGAUGCUGGUGGUGAGUUGCCGAACCCAACGAAUACAUUCUGAAGUCGGAUGGGGUGACGGAUUAGGGUGCCCCUCUAGCAGGGGAGAGCAGGGACUGCCCCGGGAAAGGGGGCCGCUGGCGAAGUUAACCACCCUGUAACAACAUACAUACACGUUUGCUGGGUCGCCCCAUCAAGUGCUACUACCAAAGAAGCCGACUCUCCAUAACGUAUGCGUGUAUGCAUGCCCGCAUCUGAAGGUUUUCGCAUGGCUCGUAUCCCGUGCAACUUACCCUACAACUACACAACGGCAGGCCAUAUAUGGCCACAUAUCGCACGUAAAUCUACGUACUGCUGCCGCCUAGAUGUGUCGGCAGCUACCGUCAGACGCCUUGUGUCUAGGUGCGCAGCUACCAAGCUCUCGGAACUCCAGCCAGUUUCACUCAUCUCUGUAGCAUUAGCAACGGCCGGCGACGACCUACCUGCUCUGCAUCCCUGGCCCUGACUGACUUCCGCCGCUCCUAAGCCGCUUGGGGACGUCAUCUAUGAUAUGUUCACCCGUAUAUGCUCCACCGCUCCCCUCCCACCACUCCCACACCCUUCUCCCCCUCAGGGCGGCAUGGCAGCGCAGUCGGGAGGCAGCAUGGGAGCAGCACCGGACGGGUAUCAGGUGGGGCGAGGCAUACAUGUGCGUUUUCCAUGUUAUCUGUCUGUCUGUCUGUCUGUCGUGGAGCGGAUGCCAUUUGAGGUAUGUGUUGGCGUGUAUGGGUGCGAGGCUUCCCCAACCCCGUAUGCUUGCGUUACGUUCUGCUGGCUGCCUCUGCUCCGCUCUUGCAUGCAGGGCUGGGGCCGGAUGAACCUGGCAGGAGCCCUUCCACUGCCGGGGCUCAGCAGCCAGGACUUUCGCACGCAAGUGGCUGACCUGGGGACCGUUGAGGACGGCGAGGCUGUACACCUGGCCGGGAUCCGGGCCACAGGGACCGGGUACGUUUGCCAGUAUUCGGGGUUUUAGGGGCUUAGGGGUUUAUAUACAGGGGGCCCGUUACAGAGCAAAAUCGACCCCAGCUCCCGACUCCCUUAACACACGCCAGGCUGCGACCAGCGUACUUACGUCAUCACCACCACCACCACUAUCGUCAUCACCACCACCACCACCACUACCAUCAUCACUGCCAUCAUCACCACCACCAUCAUUAAGGAAAGCAGAAGGUUAACCGACCACAUGUGAACGAUGGCAAAUACCAAAGGAUGUCGGCGGAGCAGCAGCAGCAGCACCAGCAGCACCAGCAGCACCAGCAGAGGGAGCUACUACGCGUUGUUCCGGGCACAACACAGUUAUGUGCAUCCGAAUUCGAAAGUUGUGUGUGCUUGCAACAGUACUGUGCACGGUACCCCUUCGCCUGCCCUCGUUCACAGCCCGAUCCAGGCAGCCCUGGUGUGGCACGACUUCCCUGGAGCGUUGCAAGCCACGACGGCCCUGGUUAACGACCUGGACCUCAAGUUCUCGGUUAACGGCGGCACGCUGACAAACACACGCGAAGGUGAGAAAGAGGUACACACAGCACACAGGUCAAAACUGCCCUACUGGUAGUAUGUGGGUAUGUGGGUAUGUGGGUAUGUGGGUAUGUGGGUAUGUGGGUAUGUGGGUAUGUGGGUAUGUGGGUAUGUGGGUAUGUGGGUAUGUGGGCAGUAAUCCGCUCCCGGAGUUCCACACCCGGCAGCAGCAACCCCAUACAGGCCUCUCUUCGCCCACCUUUCAAAAGAAGCCUCCAAACAGGCGGACCCCACCUUACCUCGACUGCGAUGACUCUCCCGUCCCGUCCGCGCACCGCCGCAAACCCCCACGGACCCCACCCCCACCAGACCACGUCAACAACGUGGAGAGAGCGGAGCUCCGGAACCUAAAACCCGGUGACAACAUCACCUUCGUCGUACAGGGCGCUAGGAUCGUGCAUCGGCUGCUAUCGUCCCCUGGCGGCGGCGGAGGGGGAGGGGGAGGAGGGGACAGCCAUCUACCCCAGCGCUGGGCUCUGGCGGUGGUGGGCAACUUUCGCGGCGUUCUACAAACGCAGCUCAAUCCGGUGUACAGGCGCCCGCAGAGGCUGCCGGUACGUACGUACGUGGUGAUGCAGUGCGUGGUGUUGCCGCACGCGGUCAACGUUUUCAUUGCCCAUACUCGGUCGUACUUUUUCACCGUACAUGCUAGCGGCUUUCAUCUAUGUAAAAUUAUAGAGAGAGAGAGAGCUAGAGGUACAAAACUCGAAAGCAACUUGGACUAAAUGAAUUUUGUUGUUUACAGUUGAAUCCCGUAAAAAGGGUGACGAGCACAGUUUUACGUGCAUAAGUAGGAUGUCAGGAUGUGUGCAUGUGUGCGUGUAUGAGAUCAAAAGCUGCAACUGUCCAACCACUAAAUGUGUGCCGGCGGGGGGGAGGAGAGACGACAGUCCCGGAAGUUCAACCUGAAUCGUUGGCGGGGGGGGAAGAAAUGCAUGGGUCGCGGGUGAUGGCCACGAUGGCAACUACCGUGUCCCUGUUCGUGCAGGUGUUCGCUUUGGAGGGUGCGGCGGCGGCGGCGGGGUCCACCGCCAUGUUGCUGGUGUCCUGCCUGGCGGGCGGGGGUUGUCUCGCGCUGCAGGGAACGCAGGUCGCCGUCGUUGUCGUCACCGCGGCUACUGAGCCAAGCCCCGCUGCCUACACCUUUGAGUUCGUGGAGGAGAAAGGUAGGGGCGGCGAUCGGCCCGAGCAACUCGCUAGCGCCCUUCCAGGGCAAUAACUGGGUGCACUUCAGUGCCAGGCCAGGCGAAGGCGUCCAAGCUUGGAUGGUUUCGUUAUUUUCUCAAAGAACAGGAAGAAGAGGAAGCAGAGGGGAAAACACAUUAAUUAAAUCUGGAUGGUCGUGCGAUUGCAUUGAUGAUGCAGCGAAAGCCAGCGCUUUCUCGUACUCGGAAGAAGCUUACGACCUGACCAAGACUAACCGAUACCGUUGGCGGUUGUAUACCUGAGAAAAACACUCUCGCAACCUAGACAAGGCUUGGACCGGACUCUCAAUCCACUGAUCCCCAGCCGCAGCGACUUUCCCCCUUAAACGCUGAGUCCAUGAAGUCUGGUGCUAUUAAAAGGCGGGAAUACUUGGGAAGCGACGCGAAGGUUAAUGGAUAGCAAGGGGACACACAUGUACACUCACUCCACGGUUGGGUACUGCCGUACUGCCGUAUUGCCGUACUGGAUGCGGUCGCAGAUAACGCAACGGGAGGAUUUUUCUACGUUAUCCGGGACGGAGUCGGCAACUGCAUCACCGCCACACGGGAGUCGGCCGUCCUCGUCCUCCCCUGCAAUGGCGACAGCGACGAACAGCGACUGGCGGUCUUCGGAAAUCCGUACCUUGACCAGUGCGUGUUGUCCUGCAUGUUCGGUAACAAUAACAUUAGCAUCAAUCUUAGCUCAGUUUUGGAUUUGGAUCUUAGUUACCGUACCUUCUAAUACACCUGACUGUCGUGCGUACCUACACCUCCCCAGAUUAUUGCCUUGUCGUUUUGCCUCCCGCCGCUCGUCCCUAAGCUUGCUUCCCAGGCUUUUUGCACAGAUGUUUGUAAACGGUCUAAAUGAGUAGCUAUGGGAGGGAGGCGAUGCAUGAUGGGUCGUUGCAUGCAUUACCUGGGAGUCCUGAAGCAGCUCUGUUGGCGAGUAACGAAAUGUAAGGCGCGAUCAACAACUUACUCCAUGUUCUGCGCCACCUUCUGCGUGUGUGUCCUUCACAGGCCGCCGCUGACACACCAACUGGUUCCGAAACCAUUCCUGGGAGAAAGCAACGGCGACCGGCUAUGUCUCAGUCAGCAACAGGAAUCGACACUACUUGGAAAUUCCAGCAGCAGCUCCUCCAUCAUUGGGCUCGCGCGCUGUGACUACGACGACCCAAGCCAGGCCUUUUUCAUUAUAAAAGGGGCAGACGCGCACACCAUUAACGCGCCGCAUCCCGCGGCGCCAUCGCCACCCCCACCGCCGCCGCCGCCACCCUCACCCUCACCCUCACCCUCGAUCUCACAGCCCCGUGCGCCGACGCCUUCCUCCCCAGAAGUUACUACCCUGCUACCGCCCCCUGGUAGACCUCCACAACGGCCACAAGGACCGCUACCGCCCAAGCUACCCAGCCCGCUGCCGCUGCCGCUGCCACUGUCACUGCCGCCUCCACAUCCACCCCCCUCAAACGCUCCGGGACAGCCGAUCCCGUCAGGACCACCACCAGCACCACCAACACCACCAACGCCACCAACGCCACCAACACCACCAACGUCACUAACGUCACCAACGUCACCAACGUCACCAUCGUCACCAUCGUCACCAACGUCACCAUCGUCAUUUCCCCAGCCAGCAUCACCCUUUCCAUCUUUCCCACUACCACCACCACAGCCUCCGCUGCCAUCACCACCACCACCACCACCACAGCCUCAAACACCCCAACCACCGCCGCAGCCUUCGCGGCCAUCACCACCGCCAGUAAAUCCACCCAAGCCGCAGGCACCGCAGCCACCAUCUCCAUGGCCACCGCCCUCGCCAUUGCCACCAACUUUGCCCACCCCACCUAGCCACCAGCCCAAACCGAUCUUCCCAACAAGCCCACUACUAAUAACGCAACCAGGUCCUCCUCAUCAAUUGCCCAGCCCCAGUGGUGGCGCCCUGAUGGGCCCGCCUCAACUGCCUGGGCCCCUAACUCCGCCUAGGAGCCCUGAAGAACAACACAACGAUUUGAAACCGCCCAGCUGGGGGCCAUCACAUCCCCAAGGAAUGCCCAGCAGCCCCUCCCCUACCACGUUACAACCAUCAGUCCCGGAUUCAAGCCCUCCACAACCAGCAUCGCAACUACAACCCCUGAGCCCACCAACACCCAUCACACCAAACCCCCAGCCGGGACGCAACUCACCCCCAACAACGUCACCCCCAAUGAGCCCUGAGCCUCAGGGCGAGUCACAGCCUCCCGAGCCGAGCUCGAACCCGCGACCUCCACUCCUGCCCCAACCACGAGGGGUAAUGCCACCGUCAGCACCUCCUCUUACUGUUGCUGCGACACCUUCAGGACAUUCAGGUGACAGCAGUGGUAAUAACAGUAGCAGUAGCAGUAGCGUUUCACAGCCGCCAGCACCGCCUCUACAGUCGGCCAACAGCAGCCCUGCAGCCGCCACCUCCCCAACAGGAGCCACGGGUACACCAAGCUCGCCUGGUCCCAGGACUUCAGACUCUAGCAACGGCAGUAGCAGCAACAGCACUCCAAGCGGCAUCGUGAAUUCUACACAGCCCGUUUCCGUAACGACUUCAGUGGGCUCCGAAACCAGCACCGACAGUAGAAGCGGCAGUGGUAGCGGCAACAACAGUCAUGUGAGCGGCAUGCAACAGCAGCAGCCGCAGCCGGUACCAUCGAUCCUGUGGCAGGAUCAAUUCAGGGUUCCGGCAGUAGCCGCAGCAGCAUCGUCGUCAUCCUCAGUGGGCCGCAUUGAGAAGCCUGUGGCCAUGGCUGGCAUCGUGUUGGGCGGCGUGGCGGCUGCAGCAGCCGUCUUUGCCGUCGUGUCGGUGACCAGGUGGUGGACCCAGAGACGUACUCGCUACCUGCAAGUGACUCCCGCAUGAAUAGCUACCCCCGGUGAACAAUUACGUGCGUACGUAUCUAUCUAUCUACUCUCGGGGAAAGGGCUCCGAUAUUAUUGAGCGCCAAAUAAUUGUUUACUUUGUGUUUGAAUGUGUGUGUGUGUGUGUGUUUGAAUGUGUGUGUGUGUGUGUGUGUGCGUGUGCUGAGGUGAAGGUGAAGGUGAGAGGGAGAGAGGGGAAGAGAGAGAGGGAUAGAGAGAAAGCUGUUGAGAGAGAUAGCAGAAGGGGGCAGAGAGAGGGAGAGAGAGGGAGAGAGAGGGAGAGAGAGGGAGAGCCUCCGUAAUAUUGGUGUUGCGCAUAGGCGCAUCACAAGAUCGGCAGGGAAUUUGCAUGUACAGUUGCCAUGCCAUGUCAUGGGCGGCCCUAACACGCUGACAGUUCCGUUCUGUUCCGUAUUCUCUAGCACUGUGUACGGGCUGCGGAGCUUCAAUAAAACAGAGACUUCGCUCCUUCGUGGUGCGAUUGCGCACCUAUCUCCAAGCAUUGAGCUGCUGCUGCUGCUACCCAGCAGAUGGGUAGCAGCUGCAGGCGGAUGGUAUGCAGGGCUGGGUGAGACAGACACUAGUUGUCGGGCAAGCUUACGAGUACCUCUUCUGUACGGUACCAUUCUCGAUUCACGAAUGAGGGACAAGGGAGACAAAGCAAUAUACCAAAAACUGAAUUGGCCGCGGUAAGGACCGCUGGGUACUGCCAUGUAGGCCUUUACAUGCAUGUGGGGGCCUUUCCGUACUACUGCCGUACACCGUACAUAGAACCUUGCUGUCCGUUCUAGCUGAUGGUGGAGGCCGGGAGGGUUCCUUACACACCAAUAAUAGUUACAUCCGGCGCGUGUCUUAGGGUUUUACAGUGCGGUGCAGGAGCUGGGCUUCAUUACCUCGAGAAAUUUAAAAAAUGCUUGACGCGAUGGGAAAGUCGGACGCCGAUGCGGAUGGUGGUGUAGACGAGAAUGAACAUUGAGCAUAUGUAGCAUUUUACUGGCGUUUGGUAUGUUUGUUUGUGUAGAGUAUCCUGGAGGGCACAUCAUCAUCAUGGGAAUUGCACCCGCCGAUCGGUGUACUUUUCUGAAGUCGUGAUAUAUAACAUUAUGUAUGCUAGCAGGGUAAUGUACAUAAUAGCAGUAGUAUACAGGCAAAGGCGCAUGCUGGGAGGAAAAUAGUGUGUGUUAGAAGCGUGUUAAGCAGAUAGAAGUGCGGGUUGAACCUGGCAGGGCGGGUACUUAACAAACGAAAUAAUGAAGAAUUUUGAAGUUUCGAGGAGGUGAUAUUUGUCGGGGAGUGCGUGCUUACAGCGUGCGCAAGAAAGUGCUUACGGUGUAUAUACAUACAGACAUAUUGGUGUGAAACAGGAAAAUGGCCAAGCUGCAGGAAUUAUUGUUAGUGACGAUGGUGGAGCAGACAGACCCAGUCAGAUGCGGUCUUUACUGGAGAAGUCUAUAUAUACCGUGAAUGGUGCAUGCAUAAGUGCAUGUGUGUAUGUAUGUUUGUACGUACGUAUGUAUGUAUGUGAGAGGUGUAAGAGACAGAAGCACGAGACGUGUUGCUUGGACAUGGGAAUUCCCCCGGCUCGUAUUAUUGCCGUACACGGCCGAACAGCAAGCAUAUUGCCACGACACACAUGGCCAUGUAAAAACACGCGCAUAGCGUCACAAGUAAUUGUACGUCAUAAAUCGGCUCAUAAUUGUACGGUUAUGCUAUCUGACCUCUUUGCAUAUGUGUCGCAUGCAUCACCCCGACCACACACAGCCCUAUCGGGCAGGUUCCAUAAACUGCCGGUUCGGCAUAGUUUGGAGCAAGCUUCGGUUCGUUCAGGCGCCUGGUAUUUUUUUCAGAGCAAAAUCAAUAAUCAAGACAGCCAGAGCCAGCACCCAGCCACCACCCUCCCGCCCUCGCCAGCAUGCAGGCCCUUGAUGGCCGUAGCCGGGAUCACCGUGUGCGGCCCCGCCGCCGUCCCAGAUUGGAGUGCUGGAUAGCCCAGCAUUCGUAUUAAUAGUUAUUUUUUCCAUAACGACGCCCGCCGCCAUAGCUUGCCUCUCCGUCGCGCACCAAGCCGUCUGUCCCACACGCAAUUGUGCUCCCCGCUAGGCUGGCGGGAGCCUUCAUCGUAGUACGACAUAUGAUAAUAACAAUAAUAAUAUACCAAUAAUAAUGAUGAUAGCGAGUUAUGGUAAUGGUCAUGGUAAUGGUAGAGCAGUCAGGAAGGGAAAAAACCAACAUGACGCGACCCCUAACAACCUCGUACGCCACCACCAACUGCGCACACAAAUACCCCUCCGCUCCGUUCACGCUGUUCGGGCUUUUUCAUUUAUUAUCAACUCCCUUCUUUCUCCCCCCCCAGGCAGCCGGCGUCCAAUAGACAAAAAUUAUUAUCUUGUAUUGUGAUAUUAUGCAUUAUGCAUCCGCCAAUAGUCAAAUAAUAAAUAUAUUCCCAUCAGCCCCACUUGCAUGUUUUCCCAAAUAUAGAGUAUAAAGUGACGGUUCCCCAGCAGGUACAACGAUCCCUACAUCCCCGGCGCCCACGUCCGCACGACCCCACGCUCAUCUCCACGAAGCAGCACGCCUCGCGCUGCAUCCCACGCCGCCACACGCGCCAAGGAGCCCGUCUCGCUCCAAUCCAGAAGCGGCGAAUACCCUAGUGACCCGCGGGUCAGGGCCCAAAGACCCGCUGAGCCAUCUGCAGCAGAAGUAACCAGGGACAACCUGUCGUAAUAAUCUCCUCGGGAGGUCGCCUGUUCGAACCCGCCACCCGACACCGCAGUCGCCGACGACAGCCGCUCGGCUGGAGCAGCAGGAGUCCCGGGGGCUCCGGUAACCGAAGCGGCAGGAGGAUGCGUGGAGGUGAAGCCGGCGGUGCCUAGCAGAGGCGACCGUGCUGGUGUUGGUGUUGGUGCUGAUGCCGCCGCCAGCAAUGUGACCGCCCCCCGGUGGCGGCUCGGCAACAGCUGCAGGCAGCGACCAUCCGCCGUCCAGGCGCCGAUGCUGCCGUCCAGAGCCCCCGAGUAGAUGACGGCGCCGCCAGUGACGUCCUCAACACCGCCACUAACACCGCCAGCAGCAGCAGCGUUGACGGCUGUGGGGUUGAAGCUCUACACGCAAGUUUAGGCGAGGCAGCGGCACCAGGGGUUAGAUCUUUUGUUGGGCAGCACGCAGGCAUCCAAUCCUUGGUUUGGAAAUGCGGCAUCCCCCCCCCCGGGUGCCCACCACCGCAGCGGCCACUGGAGCGGCCGUUGGUAGGUCCUAGAUAGGCGGAUCCGUUCAGUGAGGGAGGAAUCCAGUGUUUGCCGUACAGUACGGCAUACACUCACAGCGUCUACAAGAACAUGUUAAAGCGCUGCGCCAGCAUAUCUCGAGAGGCCUUUUUAGCGACUUCCAGCUCCUUCUCCUCCUCUCCUCCUACUACUACUAGUAAUACUACUGCUAUAUGGUCGCUUCAUUUUUUUCAAGUCAACAAGUACGAUGCACCACCUGCAGUGGAGGCAGUGCGGGGCAGUACCCCGGACGGCGCCGCGACCCCCCCCCCACUGGUGACCUUUCCUUAGCCCACACACGUCCCUCAUCUCGUUCCCGCUGCUGCUGAGGGCUCCUGACACAACCCGCGUCGGUUUGUACGACGGGUGCAGCUCCCUGUAGUUGAGGGAGACACAGCCUCAUCAUACGGCACACGUCAUCGGCCAAUCAUGCCGUACUGUACUUCGAGUCGCGCCACAGGCCCGGCGCCCCAGACUAAAGUUACACGUACCUUAUGAUGGUGAUGCACGUGCAGUGCAGUGACGGCGGCGCCGUGCCCCGUCAGGACUGCCGUCGGUGUACGGCAGUGGCGGACGCUGCGCCAUGGACACGACGACGUUGAGCAACAGCAGCAGCAGGAGGAUGAGGACGAGGACGGGGCAGCAGAGCAGCAGGCUGAGAAACAGGAGGGGGGUACGGCACCCUUCGCAAACCCGCCGGCGGCGGUCCCUCGGCCGCCGGCUCUCUCAGCGCCGCCGCCGCCGCCGUUGCUGCUGCUGCCGCCGUCGCCGCCGCCGCCGCCGCUGCUCCCAAUACCGCCGCCACUGCCGCUGCCGCCGCCUCGGCAACCCUCCGAAUGUACAGGUGAACCCCCUCCACCGCCGCCGCCUCGACCUCCGCUUGUAGAAAUUGGACCUGCCGAGAUGCUAUUAGUCGUAUUUGUGGUGGUUGUGGUGGUUGUGGUCAACCAUGUGGAACCCAAGCGGCGGCUCCGACCUCCCCCCAAACCGAAUCCUGGGGAACAGAGUCGGCCGCCGUCGCCACCACCGCCGUCAGCAUCAUCAUCAUCAUCAUCAUCAUCAUCAUCAUCAACCUCACAAUCGUCAUCGCCGCAAUCAUCGUCGUCAUCGUCGUCAACGUAAACCACGUCAGUCGCGAGUGAGCUCGCGGCGCAGGGCACGACGGCGCAUCCGCCGCCGCCGCCGCUACGGCUUGCUGCCGCAUCCAGCGUUGGCGCCGCCGCCAGCUGUGGACUCCAAAUCCGUACGGUCCAGUCGGUGCCCCCAGUAACCAGGUACGGCGGCGGUGACGGUGACGUCCACGGGUCACCCGCGGGGGGAGGAGGGGGAUUCGCUGGGGUAGCCGACGCGGCGUGGGUACGUGUGGCGGAGGAAGUCCCGUCCCGCUCCCCGCCGGCAGUUCCUUCGUCGCUGACAUCAUCGCCAUCCGCAGCUGGAGAUCCGGCGUCAGCGGCGGCGGCGGCGGAACUGACGACGGCGGCGGCGGCGGAAGAGGAUGCAGCGGCGGCGGCGGCGGCGGCGGCGGAGGUGGAAUUGCAAGGUGGCAGUAGCCCCAGGGAGGUGACCCAGCCGUUGUGACCGCCGUACACAACCACCGGGGAGGUGGGCUGCACACGGCUCCAGGGGCAUAGCCAAACAGAUACGGACAGGAAACAGAAACAACAGAAAGAUAGGUGUACGACAUUGCCUGAAAUUAGCUCAGCUGCAGCAUUGCUGCGAUAACCGACAGGCAGACAGACAGAUAGCCGACAACUCGCACGACAACAUCAAAAUCUCAGAACUCACAUUAGCCACCAGGCAUAGCUGCGAUAACCAAAAAUGACCAGCAAACCAGGUGGCGUACGUCCAUGCGUUUGUAUGCAUGUAUGUAUGUAUGUGUAUGCAUGUAUGUAAGUACUGUACCCAUGCGCGAUACCUUACACUGAUAACUAACGGCAACUGACAGCAAGGGAACACCACAGCUGGCACAGCUGGCACGUCCGCGUACGUGACGUAAGCAGCGGCCGUACUGCCGUACAAUAAAAACACAUCUUCCUACCUUUCUCAAGUCCCACUCCACCGCCGUCCCGUCCCUCCCGCCGGUGUAGAGUCGCAGCCGAAUGCUAUCCAGAAGUAAAGCAGACACCCCCCCUUGACGGGUGGCAAGGGAAAACACGGGAGCGCAGCGGCCGCCGCCGCCGCCGCCGCUAGAGCCGCCGCCGCUAUUUUCGCUGCGGGCCAGCCUUGCGUCCCACAGCCUUGCCCAUGACGCCGCACAUCCGCUGGCGAGGAUGUUGGCUGUGGGACUGAGUACCAAAGCGGUGAUGCGGCUGCGGGUGGCUGUUAUUGUUGUUGUUGUCGGGUAGUGUAAGGGGGAAGGAGGAGGGGGAAAGGGGAAAGGGACAUGGAGAAGAAGGAACUGGUUUGGGGGUGUGUACGACGCGUACGACGUGUACGUAAUGGAGGAAGAGGCAGAAAAGUCCAAGGACGGGGACAACAGCGGAGUAUGUGUGUGUGCGUAUGUGUGUAAGUGUGCAUAUUCUACCGGAGUUAUUAGCAAAGGCCGCCCCGUUCCGAAACCAACUGAUGCAAGAUUUCCCAUCACGUCGACUGCAAACCCCCUCCUCCCCCUCCUCUUCAGUCUUUCGCGCCGCCGUCCCCGCCCCCACACGCACACCUCCCCCUUCCGGACUCCCCCCCCCACAUACCCGGCCGCAACUCCCGAACGAUGCGACCCGCGCCAACAUCAACCAAGCCGAGAACUCGGGAACGCGGCCCGCAGCCGAGGCCGUCACCACCAGUUGCAGCGGCAGUAGCAGCACUCGAGGCGCCCCAUGGCGGCGGCGGCAGCGGCGGCAGCGGCGGCAGCGGCGCCACCGACAUAGCUGCGGUACAGCCAUCCGGCGUAAUGUCUAGUCUGUCCGCAUAAGCCCCAUCUAAAUGGCACAGGGGCAUCUUGGCGCUGACCUGGAGACCCGUGCCGUACUGCGAUGUCGUAUCGGGCAGCAGUUUAGCAGGUCGUACGGUGUUCAGCAUUACACACAUUGGACUUCAUAAUGAACACACACGCACACACACGGCUAUUCCCCACCUCUUUCCCACAAAGACAGACAGACAGAUAGACAGACAGACAUACACCUAUUUCCCCCACACCAAUCCUUCCUCUCAUCCCCCCCCAGCCACACACCUGCUGGUACGUCAGCACGAAGCAGGACCGCUCCAGGGGGCCCGCCAACACCACCCCGGAGGCGGCCGCCAGCGCCACAAUGGGGCCGCCGCUGCCCACCGCCAGUGCGCAUGUGGCGGCGGCGGCGGGGCCCUCCUGCGCAUAGUCGUACAACAGCAUGUGUACGGCAACGUGAACGCGGGUGGUUAGGGCAACGAUGCAUCCAAAACAGCACGAAACAUGGAUGAUGGAUAAUUCCGUCUCAAUCUAUGGGGUUAAAUUGUACUUCGUUUGGUACUAAGUUAAAUCGUAUUUAGAUAUGUACGACUGACGUAGCAGGCAUAAGAUACGGCACCCCGAGUCGUACUACGCAGCCCCGAUAGAAAACACAGCCUCAUGUACUUUUCCGCUUCACCACAACAGCCACAAUUCAUCCAUCCAUCCGGACAGACAGACAGACACACAAACACACACGUGCCAAACCUGAGCAGCGGCCGCAACUCACCCCCCCGGUGAUUCCUCCCGGGGCUGAAGCCAUCCGGCGCCUGUCGUACGGCAGCCCUGUCCUGUGACUCUCUGUGUCGUAUCUCCGCUGCUGCUGCUGCUGUGGCGGCGGCGGUGCCUGCUGCUGCUGCUGCUGCUGCCUAGGCCCCGACGGCCCCAAUGAUCUUCCCUGGGGCUUGCCGCCCAGACUGGUAAACGAAGGCCUACUCGGCGACGCCGCCGCCGCGGCAGCGGCAGCCGCGAGCUGCCGCUCGUACUUGGCGCUGUAGGCCCUACUCGCGCCGCCGCCAGUGGUGCUCCGGAGCCUGCUGCCGCCGCCCCCGCCAACGUACCCGCCACCGCCGCCGGCGGCGACGUUGGCGUUGGGGCUCAGCGGUCCCGGGGAAGUCCCGCUGGCUGGUCGCCGCUUCGCCGAGGGGCUGGCGCUGGAGAAUGCCUUGACGCCGGCGACGGAGCUGAAGGGCGCUCGGACGGGCGACGCCGCCACCGCCGCCGCCGCUGCUGGUAACGCCGCCGCCGCCGCCGCCGUCAAGGAUGCUGUCCUCACCAUGGAGAGUGGGGAGGUGAUUCCGGCCAACCCCUCAAACGUGCCGUCUCCAGUACAUGCCGCUGCCGCCACCGCGGCUGCUGCUACUGCGGCUGCGAACGGAGGCGUCAAUGGAGGAGCUGGCCUACCGACCCGCGGGUCGGCUCCGCCUACGCCACCCAUACCUCCACGGCCACCACGCUGCGCGUCAGACAGGCUCCGCGACGGCGAAAGCCCUCCAAGAGCCUCACAGUACGGCUGCUGCUGUAGCGGCGACGGCGGCGGCGGCGACGACUCAAGUAGACCCCCUCGCCGCCGCCGCCGCGGCUGUAGCUGCCCCACAGUCAACCCGUCUUGGCGCCGCUGCGGCGUUGCCACUGUCACCGUCGCCGCCAUCGCCGGCGACAUGGGCGGCGGCGGCACAAUAGCGGCCCAGUCUGCUGCCGCCGACAGCGACCGCGACAACGGCUCGUACGGCGCCGCGGGCAGCGCUGGUCGGUACCCUCCGGCGACGGGCCAAUGGUGCUGACGGCUGUACGGCACCGCCAUCGCCGCUGCCGUACCUAGCGGCCGGUAAUCCCAAGGGCCCGCUGAAAGCGGCUGCACACGGCUCCGCUGAUGACGUGGCGGGAAGACGUCAUCGCGGGGUGCGCACCGCAGUACGGCCCUCACGUUCAACAUGAUCUGGGUGUGGAGGUGUUGGUGUUCUUGGUGUUGGAGGUGAGAGGGCGCACCCGGAUGGUCGUCUGCAGAGGCGGCGGGGAGCCCGAGGAGGCGGGAAGUAGGGCCCCACCGUAGCGGAGGUAGAGGCAGCGAAGGAGGUGGAGGCGGCGGCAGGGCCAGCUUUGGCUGUACGGAGGCUGACCCUUGGAUGCCGUACGCGCGUACGGCGGCUAGCCGAGGUAAGGUGUGUAUGUAUGUAUGUAUAUGUGUGCGCACCCUGACUGACUGCGUUCAAGGCAUAUAUCCACCGGGGGCCCAGACCGCCCAACUCCCCCCCAAUGGGUGUGCAGUGAUGUGCUGGGGCCCUCCACCCCCCGCCGCCGUACCCAUCCUGAUGCUGGUACUGCUGCUGGUACUGCUGGUACUGCUACUGCUGCUGCUGCUCCGCGCCUUCAACAGUUUCCCCCCCUGUCUGGAGACAUACCUACACACCCGAACCCCUAGUGUUCCCACUCCCUUCCUUCUCGCUUCCCCCCCACGAGGGCCCCGGCUGCCCUCUUCCCCUGGCCGAGUAGUGGCGGGGACCUUGGCCAGCCGCGAUGACAACCCCCUGUAACAUGUACCUGCAACCGUAACAGCUCAGAUAACCAACAACCGUCAACGGCACGCCGGUCAGCCCCUGUCCCAUUUGACAGUUUGCUUCUCUCUGUAAAGCCUCACCUUCCCGUGAGGCCAUGCCUGUCAGCUGUCGUACACCCGACGCGGUCACUAACCCAGACAGAAGCUCCCAUGCGGCCUCCUCCGCCACCCCCAAGUACGACAGCCAGGUCGCCAGCGAGCUAAGGAUGCGUUGGACGCCCUGCACGAGGGGGCCCGGGCCCCCGGUAAACAAACGGGGGAAAGUAGCGACAGGAGGACCUUCUUCCAGGGUACGGAAAUGCCGUACAUCUUAACUUUCUCUUCACUGCAAACAUAUCCCCCAUCACGCCCCUCCAUCUGCCAUUCCGCUUUCCCCCCGGGUCCCCAUAUCAGUCUCGUCCCGCCACGUACCUUGAGGAAAACUCGUUGCCGCCGGAGCGACUCACGAGACAUGGGAUGUGCCGUACAGCUGCCGCCGCCGCCGCCGCCGCCGCUGGCAUGGCCCCCGGUGAUCUCCGCUCCGACAGGAACCCCACUCGGCGCCGCCUCGUGAACAGCUCCUCCAUUGGCGGCGGCAGNNNNNNNNNNNNNNNNNNNNNNNNNNNNNNNNNNNNNNNNNNNNNNNNNNCCGCCAAUACCCUCAGCUGGUGCGCAAAGGUACCAGCCCAGACGUGGCGCGUGUAGAGGUACGGGUUGCGAGACAGCGCGGGAAGCAGCCAAACGGGUGAUCCGGGCCCUGUCGCGGGCACGUAGGUCGUUGGGGCCAUGACGGGACGCAUAGCUUGUGGUAAGAGGCUUGUGCCGUACAGUGCCGUACAAUGGCACAAAACUGAGAAUGCGACGUGGCACCGAGGUAGGCGGCCCGGCACAUGACUUGGUGUGUUCAGAAACCCUAAAACCAAAACCCUAAACCCUAAACCCUAAAACCCUAAAACUUAAGCACACCUGCCAUCGUGUACAAUCUCGUAGACAGCUCUAGAGCAUCUAUUAAAAUGCCGAAGUCGUCCUCUUGUACGGCGGCGUUCACAAGCUCGUCAAAGACAUCCGUCAGGACGCUGUAUGCGGCGGGCUGCAGGCGGCGGCCGCCGCCACUGCCGCCGCCACUGCCGGCACAGACACCGUGACUGGCCGCAGCAGUAGAGGGUGCAGACGAGUGAGGAUGUGCGUGUGUGUUUUGCACGUGUACGGCACUGAAAGUGGCACUGGCACUUGAAGCGGCGGCCGAGGAGGUAGCGGGGUUAGGGCCGGAAAUCGCGGUGGGUGCAUGUUCCCGGCUGCCCCUGCCGCCGCCGCCGCCAGCCGCCACCUCCUCGCGUAGUCGCGCCAGGAGGAAGGCGCCGCUGCCGCCGGUCUGACGGCAUAACGACAGUGUUGCGGGAGCAGUAGCAUCAUCACCAUCACCAUCAGCAGCAGCAGCAGCAGCAGCAACAGCAGUAGCAGCAGCAACAAGUCCGUCGGCAAAAGGCUAUAGGGUUUCCUUAAAUGUCUUCCGGCGUGGAGCAGUAAUAAUACAAUAUAAUAAUAUUCGACAACCCUGUAUUGGUAAUGUAUACUGUUCCACGAGUUAGGGGUUACCACCCCGGAGGACGUUCUCGCUUGGCAGCUGCCGCAGUUGGAGAGUCUUCGCCUGGUGGAGACGUCUGCGGGGCAGCAGCUGCGGGACCAACAGGACUCCCGGCCACUGGGGCCGCUGACUCUUGUGGCUUCUCCGAAACCCACACCGCGCACACCUGAAGGCGCAGUAGCGACCGCACGCGCUCCACAGUAUCGAGCUCGGGGACGCCGCCGCGGCGGCCCUUGGAGACAGGACAGGCGCCGGCUGUGGCAGCUGUUGCUAAUGACGCCGCCGCCGCCGCCGUCGGGGACGGGGGCGGAAGAGGCGGUGGCGCCGCCGCCGCCGGCGAUGCCGGAGGCGGUAGUAGCCCUCCACGGCUUGCCUGUCGCUGGUGCUGCGGCGGCGGCGGCGGCAGCGGCGAUGGUGAAGGUUCGCCCCAGCUGAGCAGCUGCGUCAAAGCUGUAACCUGCUGUCGUACAAGGUCCUGCUCCGCUGCGUAGCCGGCCGCCGCCAGGUGGGCAUGCGCGCCAUGUUGGUGAUUUUUAAUGUGGUGGUGGUUAUGGUGGUUGUGAUUAUGGUCAACGUGGCGAUGAUUGUGGUGGUUAUGGUGGUUGGCGGCGCAGUGAUGGCCGUGGCCAUGGCCGUGGGGCACGGGUCCGAGCACGUGGCCUGCCGUGGAUGCUGCGGCAGGGCCGCCGCCGCCGGCACCGCCGGCAGGUACGGCACCCGUCCGGCCCGCUGCCGCCGCCACCGCUGCCGCCGUCGGCGAAGCCUUGCGGCCAACUCGCAGGCUAUGUGAUAUGGAGCUCAGAGUGUUCGUAAAGGACGCCGAGAUAGAGCUUGCUUCGGCGGCGACGGCGGCGGCGGCGGACUUCAACGUGGACGGCAAUUCACUCAUCGUCGGCGAGGAUGUAGACGUGGCGGAAGCGGGCCUGGCGCCGCCGCCGCCACCUCCGUCGGCGGCGGCGGCGUUGGCGGCACCGACAGCGGGCGUCGGCACCUCGCAAGACGAGAUGCGGUACCUGGGCUUUGCGAGCUCCGAAGUCAGCGCGGCCGCCUGCGUCCAUCGACGAUGUUCACCACCACCACCACCACCACCAUCCGCCCGCCCGCGGGAAAAGGGUGUUGAGAAAAGAAGGGAAAUUAGAUAGGAGAUGAGGAAGUGAGGCAGAGGAAAUGAAAGAAAGUGAGAAGGGAAGUGGGACUGGAUGAUGAGCGCCCACUUGAGGAUGUGUAUAUAUGUAUGUGUGUGUAACGAUAGGGAUGAGAGGGCCUCUCGCGAAUGCGAUUUGGUGCGAGGAAAACAGCGACUUAGCACUGCUGCGCAGUUGCGCGCCGUUCACACGAGAUAUGAAAGCACGCUGCGUGUUUUCAAACACACAGCGUGGAGUGAUCUUCCGAAUUAACAUUCCUCCAAAAGAAUUAAAAACACUUCUCAAGGGAUUAUCAAAGAAAGCUUGUCUUGUAGGACUCUUGUAGGCACUCAAAUCAUUUUGACACGGAUCUGAUCUUUGGUUCUGAUCCUGCCGUACCCCCUGCCCACCACAUCGCCGCUGAGGCUGCCGCUCAAUGAACGGUUGCGGCGGUUGCCAGUUAGCGCCCGCUUUCGUGACGACGGGUCCGCCACUGCUCCCCCGCCGCCGCCAACAACAACAACAGCGCCGCUAACGGCGUCGCCGCCAACGGGCCUGCCGCCGCCACAUGCUGCAGCGUCGGCGGCGACGUAACGGCCGGCGGCAGCGUCGGCGGCGGCUACCGUUGCAGCUGCAGCACUGGCGGCGGCAUCUGGCGGGUGUAAGAUGUACCGUUGCCAACCCUGGAGCAGCGCCGUUGCCGCCGCCGUCGGCGCUGCCGCCGCCGCCGCCACGGAGGUAUGGAAGCCGAUCUCGCUGAAGUGCCAAUCACUCACGCGCAGAGAAGGGAAGGUCCUGAAAAAAGAUAAAGGCCGUACAGGCGACAUACCUGUACAUACAUACAUACAUACAUACAUACAUACAUACAUACAUACAUACAUACAUACAUACAUAC